GCAGGUGACCACUUGCGAUCUGGCCUGGCUGGGUGCUCUGUCACGGGGAUCUCAGUCGUCUUCGCUAAAGACUGCUCGGACAAAUGACCUCAUGCAUGCAGAGCUUGCAGUACAGCCUUCGUGAGCUCGCGCCACCAAACCCACGUGGGAUAGAUAGGCAGGCAGCUAGUUGGGCCUGAAGAACUUGGCGUCACUGUCCGCCCUCCUUCCGAUAAUGCAGCUGGUAACAUCCGGGACCUGCUCAGGCUAUAAAAGGAGAGGGGGCGGGGCCCGCGCCGGUCUUUUCUGCCAUGGCUGUCGCUUCUCGGCUCUGCGUCGCGGCGCUGACGAGGCUCCUCAGGCGUCUCUCGUUUUCACCCCGGACCUGCUUUGGUUUUCGCUCUGUCCGUCGCGGGAGCCCUUGGCGUCGGUCGGCCGCCCCGGCAAGGUACCACGUUGGGCGGUUCUCCUCCUGGUUUGUGGCCGCGGCUCGGAUUUCUCCGUGCAGGGCAGCCCGGCCGGGUAAACUGUUCGUCGUUUGUGAGGGAGACAGAACCUAGGUGAAAAAGGUACGAACCGUCGUCCGUGCCCAGAUGAGGUGUGCUUCAGGGAAGCAUCUGAGCGAACAGGGACGCGUCAAGGUCACAGCGCCUCGAAGCGUUUGAGGUGGAAGGGAGAUCGAGCGUCUGAGGCAGCUGCAAAAACCCCGAGUGCGCAUGCCUGCAUCCACGUGACUAAGCCCGGAGGCCUAAGCGAUGCCGUCGGGGUCUCCAUCUCUUGGCCCCGUUUGCUCCUGCCUGGAGAACCCCGGAGCCCAGGGCUGCGUGCUUCCAGCCUGCAGCCCACGGGGAGACGCCGGGUCUCUCGAAUCCGCCCCUGACUUCCCAGGGCCGUCACCCUGACUGGCCCAGUGUAGUUCAUGUGAUCAUCCCAUGGAAUCGUUACUAAAAAUAAAAUAUUGAAAUACCACGAGCGAUCAGUCCCAAAGCUCUGCCCACUACUGUCCAUCACAGGCCAGCCGAAGUCACGAGGGGGAAAAGCUUAGCCGACGUGACGUGCUAGAGGCAGGUGCUGGGCCUUAGUGGAUUAAGCUGCUGCUUGAGACGCCCGCAUCCCAUGUUGGAGUGCGUGAUUUGGUCACGGUUCGGAAGCCGCUUCUGGAGGCAGCAGGAGACCUGGGUCGAAUUCCUUGUUCCUGGCUUUGACUUGGCUCAGGCACGACUAGUGUGGGAAUUUGGAGUUUGAACUACUAGAUGGGAGAUCUUUCUUUCUUUGUUGCUUUGCCUUUCAAGUGGAUGAAGAUAAAUAAAAAUAAAUGUUGAAAAAGAAUUAGCAUAAGUUUUUUUUUUUUGACAGGCAGAGCGAAAGUGAGAGAGAGAGACAGAAAGAAAGGUCUUCCUUUGCCGUUGGUUCACCCUCCAAUGGCGGCCGCGGCUGGCGAGCUGCGGCCGGCGCACCGCGCUGAUCCAAUGGCAGGAGCCAGGUGCUUCUCCUGGUCUCCCAUGGGGUGCAGGGCCCAAGCACUUGGGCCAUCCUCCACUACACUCCCUGGCCACAGCAGAGGGCUGGCCUGGAAGAGGGGCAACCGGGACAGAAUCCGGCGCCCCAACCGGGAGUAGAACCUGGUGUGCCGGCACCGCAAGGCGGAGGAUUAGCCUAGUGAGCUGCGGCGCUGGCCCAGCAUAAGUUUUAAAAAAGGAACUGAGGUCAUGACCAGAAAAUCAUGAGAAGUGUCAACCAUGCCAGAGCUCAGAGGUUUCUCUGUAGUCAUAUUAAAUUGGUUUUUUGAUCAAUGCAAGAAGUAUUUACAGUUGGGUACAAAUGAAAUAUACUGUAGGUUAUCAAACAGGAGAAAGAUUGGUUUCUUAGGGGACAGGGUGAGGAAUAGUCUUUCCUCUUAAAAAAACAACUGGGUCCUAAUUAGGAAGAGAAGAGAUGCGCAUUUCCCAGUGUAUUAGCUGUGGAGUGUAGGCAAAAGUUUGAGUCAGUUUUCUCAGUAAAAUGAAGACCAUAUUAUAUAUUCUCACAUGGCUCUAGGGAGAAAAUUGGAUAAUGUAUUUGAAGAACCUAACAUGGGCUUAACAUGCAGCCGGAACUUGACGCAUGCUAGAUCUGUUAUUCUUUAUCAUAAAUUAGCUUCCUGCUCCGCCUCCUCCCUCUUUAAUGGGAAAUAGGGGCCAUUGCUGCUUGGCUCUGAGGGGUGAAUGGCACCUGUCUCAUCUGUACUGUUUUCUAUUGCCCUGAUCUGAGGUUCCUAACCUGGCUAUGAAGUAGAAUCACAUGGGAGAGAGCUUGUAAACAUCUUGGUGCUCAGCUUCACCCAGACAAAUGAAUCAGGAGUUGGGAUGCAGCUUCAGUGUUCGUGCUGCUGUAAUUAAUUCCCCAGGGGAUUCCGGAGCCUCCCAAAGCAGGAGCUCUUCCUCUCAAUUCUUUUUAGGUUAUGUGGUACAUACAUUCAUGAUAAACUGUGUUACUGGUGUUGGCCAGGUUUGGGUUGUUGCUUCACUAACUAGGAUCCUUUAGGCCUCUUCCAACCCCACUUCCCCAACCGUGGCUGAGUCAGAAGGGAGGGCCUCUGCCAGGGGCAGCCAGUUUCUAGAGUGAGGGAACCACCUGCUAUAGAGAGCAUUUCACAAAUGCAAACUGGCCGAUCCAGAACCCACAGCCCAGCCAUGUCCUUGAGUAGAUGCCCACACUGUAGCCCGAUUCACCUGCCCUAAUUACCCCAGGACCAGGUAGUAGACAUCGAGGAAUAGCUAAUGGACCUGAAGGAGCCAGAUAUGUUGAAACGAGCCAAUCCCGUGCUCCCUCACCCUGCCUGGCCUGUUCUGUCCUACAGAGAUCCCGUGGAGCCUCUCGCCCACAGUUGCUUCCUCGCUUCCUCUUGGCGGUCCCCUGCGAGGUGCAGUCUGCCUCCUCCUGAAGCUGUGAGUAACCGUUCAGUGGUCAUUGUUUCCUCCUGUGGAGCCUCCAGUUUCAUGUGAAAAUGGUCUUUUAAAGCAGUUUGUUUCAGUUUCCUGAAGGUAGACAGCGAGUACUUGGAAGGACAGGACUGCGUGUCCCUAUAGUACUGAACUGUAAUUGAUACCUGUUACUCAGUUCUAGUUGAUUGCAUUUAGGAUCGAUGGUCAUAGGAAAUCAGUGGGUUACAUUGAAAAUAAUUUACUGGAAAUGUUAUAGUAUUUUUUAAACACCAUGAAUUGUGAUCUGCGUGGUUCUUCAGGAAAACUGGUAUAGGACAAUGUGAAAGAUAAGUGAAGCUUUCUCUGUCCAGUUCUUCCCUUAAAUCUCUCAUUCGUGGUCCUUAAAACAAGCAAACAACACAUCAAUUAGGCUUAUGAUUUGAUGUUUUAAUAGCUUUUGGGAAACAUGUUCUCACCUGCUCUGGAAACCAACACUUCUAGUACAGAGGCCAAGAACGGGUUAAAACCUGGUCACCUCACUAAUACCUUUAGUAUUAAGAACUCGGUCACCUCAUUAGGGCCUUGUUUAGGCCCCAGCAGUUCAGUAAUCCGGCAAGGCAUUAAUGAGGUGGCUGGGUUCUACCACACUUCUGGCUCUCACGAAGCCCAGUGUUUAAGGCAGACUGGGGCAUGUUCUGAAAAAUCUGUCAGACAUCCAUCAUGCAGCCCUACUGUGGAAGUGCUGUGAUUGUGAGCCUUGAUAAGGAUACUGUUGAUGCCCUCCUACCCUGUGUUAAAGGACAUACUUCAGAGGCAUUGUCAUUUAUCACACAGAAUGGUCCUGUGGAGAUGACUUUACUGUUCAACAGGUGGAGAAACUGGGACUCAGAAGUGCUAAUUUCCCCCGGGUCAUUGGCAGAAAAUGUCUGCCCGCUGUUAGUGUCCGCUACUUCCAGCCCUGGCUUCUUGGUUUGGGAGUACUGCCCAGGUGGUUUUGCAGUUACACCUGGUCGUGACUAACUGUGGACUUCUGCAGUGUGCUUUACAGUCUGGGAUCACAACAUAUUAUUGUAUCUGGAAGUCAAUUUGGUGCAGUACAAUAGCCAUAUAAAAAAUAGGAUGGGGUGGUGGUGUGGCAUAGCAGGUUAAAUCACCGCGUGUGAUUCCAGAAUCCUGUGUGGGGGCCAGUUUGAGUCCAGGCUGCUCUACUCCAUAUCCAGUCCCCUAGUAAGGGACCUGGAAAGUCAACGGAAGAGGGGCCAAAUAAUUGGGCUCUGAGAUGCAGAUGAAGCUUCUGGCUUUGGUCUGAUCCAUCCCUUUCUGUUGUGGCCAUUUAGCGAGUGACCCAGGAGAUAGAAGACCGACCUCUCCCUGUCUGUCCUUGUUUCUUUGUAACUUUGCCUUUCAGUAACUACCAGAAACUACUAGAAGACAUUACAUUAAAAGGGUGAAUAUUUUUCAUGAUUUUGCUACACUAAGAAUAAUACUUGGAAUAUUUACAAAGCUUAUGUAACAUGUGUAUUAUGAAAAACGUAGGCAUAGGUUUCAUUUUUUGGCACCAAAAAUUUAAAAUUCCUUUUUUCCACAAAUUAUUUGAAGUGCCCUCAUGUAUGAAUACAUGUUGGUACAAACAGAUAAGCACUACCGUGAUACGGAGUCUUGAUGAAAAUGGGUUUCUUGACCUGAUAAUGAGUUUGGAAAGUGCAGAGUCGGGGGCUGGAGUCAGCAGUGGAGGCCUGAGAAGUGCAGACAGACUGCUGUGGGCAAGGAGCCCGUGUUGUUGGAAGCAGCUCCCCAAGGCAUUUCUUGUGGGAGACUGCUGAGGGCUGCAGGAAUGGGGUGGGCCGCUGGGAUGGGAAUGGCUCUACGCAGAGAGAAAGCCCCACUCGUUUGUCCUGUACACGAGAAACCCUCCAGGUUUUUGUGGUUACAUUUCCCUGCUGCUUUCUUAGGCUGGAAGUUUCCCAGCUAGCCUAGCUUGUGUAGAAACAUGUGACUUUGAUUUCUACAUGAUAAACCAGAGGUCUUUUGCAUGAGGCUGACUUGCUGUUAGUGUCUCUGUAAUCCUCCCAUGGCAACAGACAUGAUAUUUCCUUAUUUUUGCAGCUGCUGCUUACUCUGGGUUUGAACCAAACCACUAUCAGCUGAAGCGCCAGCACAGCCAUCAUUUCUAAUGCUAGCACAACCAGUGUAGUUCCAGAAGAUGCGUAAAAUAAGUCGCCCCAGUUGUUGCAGUUGUGGUUUUUCUGAUAAUUCUUGGUACUUUGGGAAGUGUCUUUCUCUCUGAGAUUUCCUUGGAAAUACUCACUUUAAACAAAGUCAGUGCUGAACUAAUGCAACCUGACAUGGGAACCUACACUAUCACAGCUGCAGUUUAGGGAAGUAGCUAUUUCAAAACAAAACAAAGCUAAAUGCCGUUUGACUCUUCAUAGAAGAAAGAAGAAAUAUCCAAAGAUUUAAAAGCCAUUUUGGGAAAACAUUGCCCUGGGUGUUUGAUAGGAGGUUCUGCUACAAGUCUCGUCUACAUGUCGCCUCACGUGUGCUCACCUAGCAAAGGCAUCCUCUAAGAACACCCUUCUUCCCCCCAGGAUUGCCCACAUACAUCCCUCCCCACCUAGUCUGUCACUGCCUUGAUGCUUGCCACUAGAGCCUUGUUUCCUCAAAAGUGCUUUCUUUGGUAAAUGGGCAGCCAUCAAAUUGAAACACUCAAGCCAAGUGCAACGGGCAGCAUAUAUCGUAGUCCCAUGUUUUGAAAAGUUACUCCAUUUAAGACAUUAAGUGAAGGAUUAUAAAGGUCAAAAUAAACCAGAACUCUCCCAGACUCCUUCCUAAGUCUACCCCUGAUGAUUGCAUACCAGCAAUGAAUUUCACAGAUUUAUUUAUCCCAUUCCAAAUCGUGCUACAGACUCAGAAGCACUUGUACCCAAGUAGCAUGGAGAUGAAUGGGUUCCAUGACAUUUCUGCUCUUAACUCAGCACGUGGUAGAGUGAAGUCCAUGUAGAAGUACCCAGAAGCCAAGACCAGUAUUUUUUGGAUAUAAAAAAUAGAUUAAAAUACUUAAGUACUAAAAAUUAGAAUUUCUAACAAAAAGUUAUUUUUUAAUGUAUUUAGGAGGCAGAGAGAGACAGAACUCCCAUCUACCGGUUCACUCCCCAGAUGUCCAAUCUUGGUCCAAAGCUAAAGUUGGGAGCUAGUAACUCAAUCCAAGUCUCCAUCUUGGCUAACAGAGAUCCACUUUCUUUAACUGUCACCUGUUUGCUCCCUAGGAUGCACAUUAUCAAGAAACUAGAUCAGAAGUGGAGCCUGGACUCAAACUAAGGCCCUCCAGUAUGGGAGGCAGGCAUCCCAAGUGUUGUCUUAACUGCUGCACUAAGUACUCACCCUCAUAAAAUACCUUGUUUUACCAUUUCUUUUUUCUUCUCUCUUUAGACAUUCCUAAUAAAAAUAUCCAAAAGUUAGACCUUCCUAAUAAAACCCCAAAACAGAAUAAAACAUUUAAAAGCUAUAUUCAUUUGUUGAUGAAAACUAAUUAAAAUAUACCAAAGUUUUCAAUUUCUGUCAACAUUUUUUUGUGUUAAAAUAACAUGAAAAUAACAGAAAAAGUUUGCUGCACCUUGUACCUAUGUAUGGAUUCCAUUUGACACUUGUCACUGCAAAUGUGUAAUGCAGAAUUCUGGAUGCCAAUAUAAAAGAAAAAGCAUGGGCUAUGCGUUUCUCAAUGUUUAUUAUUACAAAACCACCUACCCUUCAUAAUUUUAAUUGGAGGUCAGUCAAUUCAUUCACAGAUGACCUUGUUGAAUGUAAAAUUUGUGCCAGAAAUUUUAAUUAAGUGAAACACACAUGGAUAAAAAAUCCUUCUAUACAAAUGGUGUACGUGUUCUCUAUACCAUCACUUCCGAUAAUGCUCUUUGUUCAUUCAUUCAAACUUUAUAAAAGCAUGUUAAGAUUAUACUGUAUGUUUUUACACCAGAAAUAAAGAAACUUAGUAUAAAAUUAAAUAGAAAUAUAAUUUGUGCUUUGGGAAAUAAACUUAAAAGAAAAACAACGAACCAGAAAAACAGUUUUAUGGAUGUCAGGAAUGCAAGACAGAGGAGGGAAAUUGGGUGAUGUUUUCCUGGCCUAAUUAUGGGCUGGAAAAUCUGAUAGCUAUAGGAUUCUAUUGCAUUUGUUUCUCUUUGAGCAAAAUUUGCCCUUGUGAAAAUUAUUCUGGAGUGAUUUUCCAAAUAGGUAUAUUCUGUGUAUAACUCUGAAGCUGUACUCAGACAUACUAUACAAUAUUGUGAUUAUCAGUUUGCUUACCUAAUUUCUUAUAGAGUUUAUACCUUAUUAACUUUGCCUUCAGUGGCUGGUCUGUAUUCAGUCUCAGUCAAUGGGUAUUUUUUGGGCUUAACGAGCUCAGGCCAACACAAAUACACAUUAUAAAAAUAUAUGACACGGCCGGCGCCGCGGCUCACUAGGCUAAUCCUCCGCCUAGCGGCGCCGGCACACCGGGUUCUAGUCCCAGUUGGGGCGCCGGAUUCUGUCCCGGUUGCCCCUCUUCCAGGCCAGCUCUCUGCUGUGGCCAGGGAGUGCAGUGGAGGGUGGCCCAGGUGCUUGGGCCCUGCACCCCAUGGGAGACCAGGAAAAGCACCUGGCUCCUGGCUCCUGCCAUCGGAUCAGCGCGGUGUGCCGGCCGCAGCGCGCCGGCCGUGGCGGCCAUUGGAGGGUGAACCAACGGCAAAAGGAAGACCUUUCUCUCUGUCUCUCUCUCUCACUGUCCACUCUGCCUGUCAAAAAAAAAAAAUAUGACACACACGUAUUAUCCCAUCACACUUGCAGCUAAUGGGAUUUCACAUUGAUGGCAUAUUCACACCAGAACUUCCAUUAGUGUAUUUCUGGUUUUUAAUGAGAAAAAUUGCAGCAACUGAAGUUGCAGCUGAGGACGGGAAGUCUCCCUGGGACUGCUAAGGGGGCCCUUUGAAGGGGAGAAAUGAUAGCUCUGUUUCUGGGGAGUGGCCCCAGUGCAAUGCGUGUGCUUGCCAAGAAGGAUAGGACUGUGAGGAUUGCAGGUUUAUCCCGAGGUGGCUGCUAAAAUUUUGAACCCAGCAUUGCUUGUGCUUCAGCUGCACCCUUAUCAGCUGGAUGGCUCCCAUCUGCAGGCAUUUCUUAGGAGAAUAAACCAGCACAGGGGGAUGCAAACAGUCACAAGGUGGCUUGGGCAGCCUGGCGUUCUCUUCUCUCUGACGGCGAGUGAAGCAGAGCCAGAGCGCGUGAUAUCAGUCCCUAGAGAUUCACAGACAAGAUAUGAGUGGGCACUGGAAUUCCUGCUAAUAGGGCAUGAAAAGGCCAAAUAAAUUAAUUAAGAAAUUAAGGAGCCAUGAUUGUGUUUGUAAGUAAAUAAUGAAGCUAUUCCUCUGGGAGAUAAAUGCCUCUGUGUGUGUGUGUGUGUGUGUGUGUGUGUGUGUUAAGCUUAGUAACAGAAGCAUACAAAGAAACAAUACUUCCUUGGCUUAUUGUAAUUUUGCUUGAAAAAAUAAAGGAAAGAAUGAUAGUUUCAAAAGAGCCUGUCAUACCUGUGUGGAAGAUGAAAAAAAUUUUUGAGUAAUCUGUGGAUGUUAAAAGGUGCUGGAUUCUCAUUUUCUGUGGGAGUUGCAGAAUCAUCACUCAUCACCUGGGAAAGUUCAUUUUUCACUACAGCAGCAAGCUCUUUGAGAAGUCUGCUGGGAGGUUUACUCCUGGGACAGAAGGAAGUAGCAGACCUUGCCCUCCUGAGUACAUUUGACAUUCCAAGAAGUUGUAUAAUGAAAGAGGAAGCAAUUAAUCUAUGAAAAUGUUCCAUAAAGUGAAACACGCUUUUCUCAGACCCAACUUGAACUGCCCUUUGCAUGAAAGAGUUGAAGAGGAGGCAGAGGGAUAGCGGACACUCCCAGGCUGGGGUCAAGACCUUGACCGAGCAAGGAUGUAGCCAAUCACGUAGCAGUCUAUGGCCCAGAGCUGUGGUGCCACCAAACAGAAUGUUACCACAGUAGCCAGCUGCUGGCUAAGAAAAGCCAAGGCAAAGGUGUUCACAUUCAAGAGUAAAACAAUUACCUCAUACCUUAUUCCCUCUUUUCACUUCCUGUUCAUUUUGUCCUGCUAAUUGAGCAAUGUGGGUGAUAUUUUCAGUAACAGGGAUUCUAAAUUUCAGAGGAAAGAAGCAUUUACACUUGAAGUAUGUGCUUCAAGACCAAGUAUAUAGGUUCACAGUUGAGACACCCACCUCCUUGGAGGGCCAAGGUGGAAUAUGAGUUAGUAUUCCGGACUCCAGCUUCCUGUUUGUGCAAUCCCUGGGAGGCAGCACGUGACAGCUCAAGUACUGGAGUCUCUGCCAUGCGCAUAGGAGACAGGGACUGAGUUCCUGGCUCAGCUGCCGCCUGGCCCAGCCCCAGCUGUUUGCAGGAAUUUGGGGAGUGUAGCAGCAAUGAGAGCACUCUCUUUAUUUUCCUCUCAAAUAAUUAUUUUAAAUAUUUAUUUUUUUGAAAGAGUUAUACAGAGAGAAGGAGAGGCAGAAAGAGAGGGAGAGAGAGAAAGGUCUUCCACCCGUUGGUUCAUUUGCCAAUUGGCCUCAGCAGCCAAACUUUGCCAGUCUGAAGCCAGGUGCUUCUUCCAGGUCUCCAACAUGAGUGCAGGGCCCCAAGGACGUGGGCCAUCUUCCACUGCUUUCCCAGGCCACAGCAAAGAGAGCUGGAUCUAAAGUGGAGCAGCCGGGUCCUGAACCAGCACCCAUAUGGGGUGCUAGCACUGCAGGUGGUGGCUUUACCUGGUAUGCCACAGUGCCAGCUCCAAAUAAAUAAGUUUUUAAAUUAACAGUAACAUUAAUGCUUUAGAGAGCGUAUUCCUAACCAAUACAUGUUGGUACUUGGUACAGGCCAUAUAUCAAGCAAAAAUUUUGGAAUUGAAUGAGCUGAUUUCCCUAUUUCAGCAUGUAAGUUAAUGGUGGAUGCUGAGCUCAAAUCCCAACUCCAGGAUAUUCAUACAGCACUUAAAUAAUUGCAGUAUUCACCCUGGUGGUGAAAUAAUGAUUUGUGCAUGAGUGAGAAUUUCCACAGCAGUUUGAGGCAGGAGAAACUAAGCACUGUAACUCAGUUGCUGUGUCUCAGUUAGCUGGCAUGAUGCUGUACUUACAUGGUAGCUACUUGAUAAUUGGCAGAUGUAUUAAAGCUUAAUAAGCAACUUAGUUUGUUAUUUUUACUUCUUAGUCCUGCCUCCAGUGCCGUGGUUCAGUAUGAAGUUACUAAAGGGCUUGAUGCUCAGUUUAGAGUUAUUCUGGCUUACCUCAUGGGGAUUUUUUUUCUGUCUGAAAUGUAUUUUUACUUUUUUUUGAAAAUAGUGUUUAUUGACCUAUAUUUACACAUAAUAAGAUUCCACAUCUUAGACAUUUCAGUAGUUUUUGACAAAUGUACAGUCACUACCACAGUCAGGAGACAGAGUGUUCCUAACACUGCAAGCAGCUCCUGGUGUCCUGGCUUGAGCAGCCACACCCUCCUCCCAGCCCUGGCCUCUGGCAACUACUCACCUGCUGUUCCCGGUGGGGGAGGGGGAGGUUCAUCAUCAUUUUGGCCUUCUUUUUUUAUUUAUUUAUUUUUAUUUUUUUGACAGAGUGGACAGUGAGAGAGAGAGACAAAGAGAAAGGUCUUCCUUUUGCUGUUGGUUCACCCUCCAAUGGCCGCUGCGGCCGGGACACCGCGCUGAUCCGAUGGCAGGAGCCAGGUGCUUCUCCUGGUCUCCCAUGGGGUGCAGGGCCCAAGGACUUGGGCCAUCCUCCACUGCACUCCCUGGCCACAGCAGAGAGUUGGCCUGGAAGAGGGGCAACUGGGACAGAAUCCGGUGCCCUGACUAGGACUAGAACCCGGUGUGCAGGUGCCACAAGGCAGAGGAUUAGCCUAGUGAGCCGCGGCGCCAGCCCAUUUUGGCUUUCAUUUUUGUUCCUAUAUCAGUGGUUGGUUCCUUUUUAUUGCUUAGUUUUUCAUUUUUUGGGUGUGCUAUCCUAUGUUUAUCCAUUCAGAAGUUGCUGUUACUGUGGCUACUACAGAUAAAGCUGCUAUUAAUAUUGCAGUAUAUCUUUCUGUAAGGAUUUUUUUUUAAUUUAUCAUAUGUGAAGGUGUAUGUGCACACACAUGUGUACAACUAAGAGUUGGAUUACUGAGUCCCAAGGCACAUGGGUCUUAAAUGUUCUACGAAGCUGCAUUUCUGUUUUCAAAGUGGCUCUAUCACUUGGCGAUCCCACUAAGUAUAAGAGUUCCAGGUGCUCCCCAUUCUUGCUGAUGGUUGGCAUGGUCAGUCCUUCUCACUGUAGCCUUUGUAAUGAGUGUGAAAUGCUAUCUUGGUUUUCAUUUUUUUUUCCAGUGACUAAGGAUUUUAAGCAUGGCUUGACAAGCUUAUUUGCUAUUGCAAAAAUGUUCAGUUCUUUUUCCUACUAGGUGUGUUUGUCUUCCCACUGACUUAUUAGAUUUUGUGUGUAUUCUGAAAUGUCUGUUAUCAGGUAUAUGAAACAACAGAUUUUUUUUGAACUAGUAGUUUGCCUUCUGUUGUCUUCAGUGUUUUUUUGCAGAAGAGCAAAUUUUUUUUUAUUUAAUGUGAAUUUAUAAAGUGCAACUUUUGUAUUGUUGUGGCUCCCACCCCCAACCUCCCUCCCUCCCGCGGCCCUCUCCUCUCCCACUCCCUCUCCCAUCCCGCCCUUCAUCAAGUUUCAUUUUUAAUUACCUUCAUAUACAGAAGAUCAACUUAGUAUAUACUAAGCAAGGAUUUCAACAGGCUGCACUCACACAACCGCACAAGGUAUAGGGUAUUGUUCGACAAGUAGUGUUGUUUUUAAGUUUCAUAGUAAAACACAUUAAGGACAGAGAUCCCACGUGGAGAGCGUGUACCCAGCUGAUGUCAUGAAUAAGAGUGCCAAUUGUGAAAUAAAAAGUUUUUAAUUUGGUGAGGUUCAUAUGACCUGUUUUUUUUUUUUUUUUUUGACAGGCAGAGUGGACAGUGAGAGAGAGAGACAGAGAGAAAGGCCUUCCUUUUGCCGUUGGUUCACCCUCCAAUGGCCGCCGUGGCCAGCGCACUGCGGCCGGCGCACCGCGCUGAUCCAAUGGCAGGAGCCAGGUACUUACCCUGGUCUACCAUGGGGUGCAGGGCCCAAGGACUUGGGCCAUCCUCCACUGCCUUCCCAGGCCAUAGCAGAGAGCUGGCCUGGAAGAGGGGCAACCGGGACAGAAUCUGGCGCCCCGACCGGGACCAAAACCUGGUGUGCCGGUGCCGCAAGGUGGAGGAUUAGACUAGUGAGCCGCGGCGCUGGCCCUGUUUUCUUUUUUUAGAGUUUGUGCAUCUUAUGCACUAAGAAAUCUUUGCUUAAAACACAAAAAUAUAUUCUCUCAUUUUCUUCUGGAAGUUUGGUUCAGCUUUUUAUAUCUAAGUGUAUUUUGUAGUUAAUUUCUAGGUGUGCUGUGAGAUAAAGACCCGAGUUUGUUUCUCCUUCCUUCCACAUGGGUAGCUGUUGACUUCGCAUCUGUUGUUGAAAAGAUGUCCUUUAUUCACUAAUAUCCCUUGAAUCAUUUUUUUUUAAGUUUUUUUGACAGGCAGAGUAGACAGAGAGAGACAGAGAGAAAGGUCUUCCAUUUGCCGUUGGUUCACCCUCCAGUGGCCGCAGCACGGCCGGUGCAUCACACUGAUCCAAUGGCAGGAGCCAGGUGCUUCUCCUGGUCUCCCAUGGGGUGCAGGGCCCAAGGACUUGGGCCAUCCUCCACUGCACUCCCUGGCCACAGCAGAGAGUUGGCCUGGAAGAGGGGCAGCCGGGACAGAAUCUGGCACCCCGACGGGGACUAGAACCUGGUGUGCCGGCGCUGCAAGGCAGAGGAUUAGCCUAUUGAGCCGUGGCGCCGGCCCCCUUGAAUCAUUUUAAAAAAAUCAGCUUAUCCUAUACAUAUGAGUCUUUUUCAGCCCUGAACACAUUGCCUUGAUUACUGUAUUUUCCUUGAUUCGGAAGAUUGUGUUCCUGGUUUUUUUUUUCAUUUGUCAAUAUUUUUGUGCUGUUGUAUGUUUUUCACAUUCUCAUACAUGUUUUAGAUAUAAUGUGUAAUUCUAUGAUAUAGUUUGCUGGGAGUUUGGAUGAAAUUGCAUUGAAUCAAUGGGAUCAAAAUAGAGGUAAUUGACAUAACAGUAUUGAGUCUUUUAGUUCACGUAGAUGAUCCCUUAUUUCUUUUAAAAUUUAGCUCAGCAAUGUUUUGUUAUAUUUUGUUAAAUUAUUUCUAUGUAUUUCAUAUUUUUGAUACUGUCCUAAAUAGUUUUUUUUGUGCUUCUUGCAAGUACAUACAAAUCAAAAGGUUUUUAUAUUGAUCUUAAAAUUUAUUCACUGGCAAAUUCUUUUAUUUAUUUUAUUUUUUUUUAUUUUUGACAGGCAGAGUGGACAGUGAGAGAGAGACAGAGAGAGAAAGGUCUUCCUUUGCCGUUGGUUCACCCUCCAAUGGCCGCCGCUGCAGCCGGCGCACCGCGCUGAUCCGUUGGCAGGAGCCAGGAUCCAGGUGCUUUUCCUGGUCUCCCAUGGGGUGCAGGGCCCAAGCACCUGGGCCAUCCUCCACUGCACUCCCUGGCCAUAGCAGAGAGCUGGCCUGGAAGAGGGGCAACCGGGACAGAAUCCGGCGCCCCGACCGGGACUAGAACCCGGUGUGCCGGCGCCGCAAGGUGGAGGAUUAGCCUAUUGAGCCACGGCGCCGGCAAAUUCUUUUAUUUUAGUAACUUUUUUCCCUGUUAGUGAAUUCCUUAAGAUUGUCUAGAAUAUCAUAUCUUUGAGUAAUAAUAGUUUUGCUUCUACUUUCCUACUUUGUCUAGGGCUUCCCUGGUAUGUUCCUGAGUAUGGGAUGAAACCAUUCAGUGUCAUGUAGGUUUAUGGUAGAUGGCAUUUAUUUGAUGAAAGAAGUUCCUCUAUAUUCCUAGCUUAUUGACAGUUUUUAUCAUGAAUGAAUGUUAGAUUUUUGUCAAAUGGCUGUUGAGAAUAUGAAAUGAUUUUUCUUUUAAAUUUGUGACUGUGGUAAAUUUUACUGUCAAAAUGAUAAAACUACCUGUCUUCCCUGGAAUGAUCUCCACUUAAUAAUGAUCUACCAUCUUUAAAACUUAGUUCUGGACUCUUUUGGUUGGAAUUUUGUGCUGUGUUCACAAAGUGCAUUUGUCAAUGGCUUGCUUUUCUUUUAACAUCUUUGAGUGGUUUUGGUAUUUGGGUAUUUCUGGCCUCAGAGCAUAAGUAGGGAAAUAUUCCCUGGUUUCUGGUAGGAUGUUUUGUAAAAUAAAUUCUAUAGGAACUCUAUAUUUAGGAGUAAAUGUUACAAAGUGAGAUAGGAAUUAUGUCUUUUAUAGAAUGCUUUACCAAGUACACGUUAUAAUGUUUCAUAUAAAAUAGAUAUGUCACAAUGUAAAAUUUCAGAUGAACAUUGGAGUCAGUAAAACAUGUUAUCUAGGUUUUUAUUAUGUGUUUUACAGAAAUGAAUGCUGAAUCAAAACAACGUGAAAGAGAAUCUCUUUGUAUAAACAAUUUAAUGGCAGUAUUUUGAAAGCAAGCCCUACAUUACCUCAGUAAUAAUGGUUAGUGGGCAGGGUGUGGACAGGGGAGUAUGAUGUGCUGAAUUUUCUCCUUUUACAUAGGGUGGAAUUAACUUAAAGCUUUUUGUUCCUGGCUUUCAAAUUUAUAGAAAAAAGCUUAAAGAAUGUUUUACAAUGCUUACUUUUUAUGGCUAGUGGAGCUAAGACCAGUUUAUAUAACCAUCAAAUUCCUGCAGAAUUUAAAAGAAAAUAAGAGCGACCCAUAUGUUGUAUGUAUAUGUGUUUGUGUGCCUUUGUGAUUCAUUCAUACAUGUGUACUAAUGAGAGAAAAACAAAACUCAAGAACUAUAGGUUGCAAUACAUAAGUUAUGGAAACGGUAUUAAUUUUUUUCUUGGUAAAGUCAAAGGAUAAUCCCAUUCAGUAAAACUGUAUGCUUCUCAGACUGAACACAAAAUGUCAGAGAAUGCUACAUAGCCACCACCACAGCAGAAGGGUACUUUAAAGAAAAAAGAUACAUGUGGAAGUUAGUACUCAGAGCAAAACAAUUUAGAGGGACCAGAGAGGCAUGCCAGUGAAACAUAAACCCAUAAAUGAAGAUAACAGUCACAUAUUCAUAGAUUAAACUUAGUUUCAAGAUAAAGCAAAACAAUAAAGAAGAACCUUAGAGAAAAUACAAUUGUUUUGAGUGACACACCGAUCUCAACUUAAAACAAGUCAAACUAGAGUGAGCAUUUAGUGCAGUGGUUAAGAUGCUGCUUGGGUCACUGAAUUCCGUGUCUCAGUGCUUGGGUUCAAGUGCCAGCCUUGAUUCUAAUUCCUGCUUACCAUUAAGUGUUAACCCUGGGAGGCACAAGUGAUGUCUCAAGUACCUGGGGACCCAUGCUACCCAGGUAAGGAGAUCCAAAUUGAAUUUGGGCAGCUAUUUAAACCUGGCUCAGCUCUGCUGUAGGCCCUUCGAAUAAAAGUAACUUGACUAAAACAAAACAGACUUCUUAAAAAGAAAAGUCAAACUAGCAUGAAAAUAACAAAGGUAUAGAAAAUGCAAGUUAAGUAAUCAGUGAAGCCCAACAAAGGUGUUUAUUAAUUUUUGUAUUAUCCCCAGAAGCAUAGUCUCUAACUUAAUUGAAAUAUUUUAAAAGGUCUUCCAUCUGCUGGUUCACUUCCUAGAUGCCACAAUGGCCGGAGCUGUGCUGAUCCGAAGCCAGGAGCCAGGAGCUUCUUCUGGGUCUCCCACAUGGGUUCAGGGGCCCAAGGACUUGGGCCAUCUUCUUCUGCUUUCCUAGGCCAUAGCAGAGAGCUGGACUGAAAGUGGAACAGCUGGAUCUUGAACCGGCGUCCAUAUGGGAUGCCGGUGCUUCAGGCCAGGGUGUUAACCCACUGCGCCACAGAGCCGGCCCCGCCGUGUAACCAUUUUUAAAAUUUGCUACUGACAUGCAAGAGAUCAUUGCUUUGCAUUCCUUAUAACCAUUAAAAUAGUGAUGCAUUUAUUAAACAAGAUCAGUGGAAUCCAGUUAGAAUGGGAACCAGGUUGUUAUUUUACUGUGGUUGUCUCUUUUGCCUAUUGCAUUAGUUUUUGAAGGAGUUGACUAUGAGCAAACUGCAAGUAAGAAUAAAAGGGAAUGUCAAUAAAAUGUACAAUCUCUUAGAACUGUGUUUCACCCCCGGAUGGGAUUUCUAGCAUGCUACAUCAGCCAUGAUGGCCAUUCUGCCCCCACAGGCGUUUUCCUUAACCAGUUGUGGUAUAAUUUCCAAAGGCUUGGCAGAGCAGAGUCCAGAAACAGUUAAAGUGACAUUAGUAGGGUCUGUAUAUUUGUACACCCGUGGUAUUUAUAUCUGAGGAGCUCCCUGCAGGAAACAGCCUCUGUGCUCAGUGGUGUGUCUGUACACUGGGUCUGUUUCAUGUCUUGUCCCAGCAGAGCUGAUGUUCCUGUAUGAAGCCUACUGCACUUAAACAUCUCUAUUUAUUUUUCUGUCGCUGGGCUCUGUCUGAGGCUUUUAAAGAUACUGUUACAAAGAUCUAGUGUGUGAACUGUCUGGAAGGGUCUCUCAUGUACCUGGCAUUAAGAAGCAGAUUUAUUUGGUGGAUAACCAAAAUGCAAAUAUGUGUAGUUUUAUGAGAUGCAGACCUGCCAUUCCUUCCCUUUGUGCUUGUGCACAUGUGGGUACACAUGUACACGCACACAUAACCCUUCUUUGUUCUGUGAGGGCAUUUUCAUUUUAAUUCAGGCUCAAAGUGAAGAGGCAGGAUACUUCAGGAAUGAAAGUAUGCACACUUUUCCCUUCUCUUUCAACUUCAUUGGCAUAUUCCAGGUCCUUUCUGGACCCUCAGAACCCUACUCUUCAGUAAGUAAUCUGAUGGGUUGUCCUUUCCAAGUGCUUAUGAAGUUAAAAUCUCUAUUGUAAUUUUGAUUGUAGAGAAGGCUUACUUAAUCAACUGUCCCUUCUAAGAUUUGAGGUUCAGUCACAGAGAGGAAGGAUAGGGUGGGACCGAUAGAAUGGGAUUCCUAGUAUAGGAAAGAAGUUCCAGGCAAGGAGGUCUGCAUGUCUUUUCACAGCCCACCCAAGUGUAUAACUGAAUGGGCUUUCUGUAAGAAUGAGCAGCCCAGGCACCUCUGUCCUUCCAUGGUGCCUGAUCACUAGAGUGACUUCUUAGAGUUAAGGCUGUGUGAUCCUAAUAGGAGGAGUGAUAUUAACCUAUGAGAGCCAGUUGAAAUAGUUGAAUUGUUUAGUUUAAAAGAUUGGUGGACAAUCAUCUAGAAUAAAUGGGGCACACAACAAAUAUAUUUUUAUGGAUUUAUUAUUUAUUUGAAAGGCCAAGUUACAGAGAGGGAGAGACAGACAGAUAUUCCAUCCUCUGGUUCCCUCCCCAUAUAGCUCAACAGCUGAAGCUGGGCCAGGCCAAGGGCAGAAGCCUGGAACUCCAUCUGGGUCUCCCAUAUGGGUGGCAGGGACCCAAACACCUGCAUCAUCUUUUGUUGCUUUUCCCAGGCCAUUAGUAGGGAGUUGGAUUGGAAGUAGAGCAGCCAGGACAUGAACUGGCGCCCAUAUGGGAUGCCAACCUUGAAGGUGGUGGUUUUACCUGCUGCACCACAAUGCUGGUCCAGAACUGGGGAGUUUUUAAGUAUCCGUUCACUUCUGUGCUGGAGAGCAGUGUUGUGUUUCUCUUCUGUGAUGCCUGCAGUUGAGGCAGUGAUUUAACCCCCUGCUCUACAAUGUCAGCCCCAACAAAUACAUUUAAGAGAAGGAGGGAGUGUAAGAAAUUGUGUAUUCUCAGGAACUCCACCCCUUCCAGAGAGUUGAGGGUGAUGGCUUUCUUGUGAGUGUGAUGCAUCAUGAAUUAAUUGCAUUGUUUGCCAGCCUUCUCCUGGUGAAUGCUAUGUAGUGGUGUUUCUCUCCAAAGCGAGUUGAAAGUCCAGUUCAGUUGUUCCCUUGAGUCCCCUUCUCCUCCUCUGCCUUUCUUUUGGUUUCUCGGUUUUGUUUCUCUAAUGCAGUUUAUCUUUAUGUUCUGGUGAUCUUAACCUCAGAAAAUAGUUUAAACAUGGAACAAAGUAAACGUCUUUGGAUGUACAGAUUAUAAAUAUUUCCACAUAAAAAAUGAGAUGCUUUCAUGUUUUGAGUUCAAGAUAGAUGUAAGCUGUGUAAUAAAAUAUAAUAACCUGAAUGUAUAACAUCCUUGUUUAUACAACCAAGCUCUAAAGUUUGAUAUAUACAGAAACACAGUUAAGUCUGAGCUGAGCAAAGCCUUUAUGUGGGUUUGUCUCUGGAAUAUGAUUCCCUCCAGCCUGUGUACCCGGAGGGCCUGAAUCUGACUUUCAAAUAAACCCCAGACAGAGAAAUAGGGUAAGAGAAGGUUAACUCUCAAGCCCCUCACCUCUUUUCUUACAGUGGUGUCUCAGACAAGCUUACCAGAGAUUUAAUUCUGUGUAGACCUGUAAGACUACAAUGAGGGUUUCCAGUUUAAUAUGCAAAUAAGAAACAGUGGUGCAUGACUCCAAGUUCCAACCCUAAUUCUUUGCCCUGAUUUCGUCAAAUGUCCCAACCUUCAUGAUCCUGAAUAUGGGUCUGCCCCCAAAGGCAGCUUGAAGUUUUCUGUACCCACUGCCUCUCCUGACCUGAAAGUCUGGCUUUAAUUUGGGACAUCUUAGGGGUUUUGGUCUUUAUCUAAUGUGCAAUAAGAGUCUAUUGAAGGAUUUGAAGUGAGAAUGAUUGAGCCUUUUAAAUCAUUUCAAGGGGUGCACCCCUUCUAAUGUUUAAAAAAAAAAACACAUAUGAGAAGAAUGUAUCAAGACCAGUAGCUUGAGGGAGGGAAGGGAUGACAGCACAGGAGAGCAGGACAAGUGGAAAGCUUUAGGAGACACCUGGGAGAAAAAAAAAUGGAGAAGUCAAGAAGAUUUAUUGACCAUAAAUGGGGCCAAAGCAGGAGAAGGAAAAGAAUAAAGUAAACAUAACAUUAUCUGAAAGGUAUAAGAAAUUUUGUAAUCCAACCUAGUAUGUCUUCCUCUUGAAAGUAACAAGAGAAAAAAAAACCUGUUAAGGAAUAAAAGGAACCCACAGGGAAAAAAAUCAAUCUUGAGAAAAUGGCCAACCUCAUCUCAUAAAACAUAAUCUCAGUUCUGAAAUACCUAAUGCAGGAUUUAAUAUUUCUGGAAUCAGGUGUGUACCAUCAUCCCAGGGAAACUUGUUGGCCAUCCAUCCAGAGACUGGUUCUGUGCAGUUAAGAUAGCACACACAGCUGUCUUUUAUUUCCUUUGCUAACUUAGAAAGAGGGGGUCUGACUAAAGUUAAUUUGAACUUACCCUUUUUCCUUUGGAUUUCCACUGAAUGCUUAGUGAUAUCAAGGAGUAAUAGAUUCAUAGUCCAGAUUUCUUCCUGUUUCUAUCAGCUUGAUCAUAUAAUUUAACUUAUCAGAACUUCAGUAUCAUCAUCUUACAACAGAGGUGAGCAAACACUAGCAUGGUAGAAUUGUUUCAGUGCAUAUAGGGCUGCAUAUGUUGCACAUCUUAAAUCACGGUGUUGGUGCUGCUCUGUGAAUGGUAGUUAUUAUCUCAUGAAGAUGCCCCUCCACUGAGAAGUGCUGUAAAGAAGAAAAUGAUGUCACAUCAUCUUAAAAUCAAGUUAAUAUGCACCAAACUCUCCAGACACCAUGAUUCCACGGUUUCCCAUGGCAGUUUCAUUUUCUGAUUGCUUUAUGGUAGUUAACGUUCAGACUUUCGUUCUUUGAUUUCCUCAUCUCAUUACAAUUCUGUCAUCUGCUAUGUGGUUCUGAGUUCUGCAAUUCUGUCCUUGCACCCUGUCAACAUCUGUCCUUCCAGCUGUGUGGCUAGAGGUUCUGUAUUCCACCCCUGCACCUUCAGAUAUUUCCCAGUAAAUGGGCACACUCACUAUUAAGCAUUUUCAUGUGCUGUUUGUAUUUGAUCCUUUGGUGUCAUCUUUCCCAUUUUGCUUGUACAAGGACUUCAUAUCUCAAUGACAACAGACUACCAGCUGCUUGACACAAAAUCCUGCAUUUGAUUUUGUUUGAGUCUUGCCUCCUAUUUUCCUUUUGCUCAGACGUCUAAUUGCACUGAAAUAAACAGUUGAGAUCCUGUUUCUUAAGGUUAACUGAAAUGCCAGUUCUGUAAUCUUUGCAUUAUCUUAAUGGAGACCAUUUGAUCAGUUCAAUAAAAUCUUUGCUUCUUGUGAAACUUGAGGAUACUGUGGACUUCACAGAUAAGGGGUCUUCAAACAGCUCAUAGAAAAUGUGUUAUGAAAAAACUAUGCAUGGAAUCCAAAAAAUUUUUGGCACCAAAAUGAACUUUUAAUUCCAGCCUUCCAUGCACUUUGUGAAGUCCCAUCCUGUAUACCUUAACCUAUAGAGAUUCAUAUGGUAACUGUACACCUUAUAUGAUAUCUAUCCAGCCCAAGGUUGUAAUGAAACCUGUUUGCCACCCCAGGAAUUAAAUGAUUUUUGUGCUUCUUCAAAAAGACAUUUUUUUAAAAAGAUUUAUUUGAAAGACAGAGUUACAGAGAAAGAUGUAGAUACACAGAUCUUCCAUCCAUUGGUUAACUCCCCAAAUGGCAGCAAUGGCUAGGGCUGGCCAGGCCAAAAUCAGGAUCCUGGAAUUCCAUCCUGGUCUUUCGCAUGGAUGGCAGGGGUGUUAUCUUUGUUGCUUUCACAGGUGCAUAUGCAGGGAGCUGGAUCAGAAGUGGAACAGCCAGUCUCAAACCAGUGUUCAUAUGGGAUGCUGGCAUUGCAGGUGGUGGCUUAACCUGCAGUGCUACAAUGGCAGCCCCCUCUCCCAAAAGAUAUUCUUUAGAUAGGUUAUAUUUGGGAAAGAGAGGGAGUGUUGCCUGGGGAAUAGGUGUAGUAAACAACCAUGAUCCAAACUGUUUGCUAGUUCGGCUCAGAGUCAAAAAGUCUUACUUAACAUUAUAAAAAGUGCCAGUGCACUUGUGUUGGAAAUCAUUGCAGAGGGAACUUGUUGUUCAGAUGCCCCUUGGGGCUUCCUUACUUUGUAGGCAGGGGAGAUUGCUGUUCCUUACCUGGCGUCAGACUCCUGACUGGGGUACCUCUAAUCAGCAAGAGGAAAGUGUCUACUUUUUAAAGUUUGAUCUGAUAUGAGAAUAUUUAGAGGGAAAUGAAGGCCUAAAGACACAGGGAAUCCUAUGUAUUUUUUUGUGAUGUUUGAUAUAGAAGUGGACCAUUGCAGAGAAACAGGCUAGGCUAGAAGGGGGUAUGAUGUGACGAUGAUAAACUGAGGUCGCUGAGCAAGGCCCGUUUACUCAGAUUUUUCUCUGCACCCUCUCCUCAGGGACAAGAGUUUCCCUUUCCUCAGGGUAUGGGUUGGGCACUCUCACGUGGCUAUCUUGGGAUCCACUGCAGAGGAAGGUCAGAGAGCUGCUUGAUGAGCUUCUCUUGGGGGACACAAGGCAAGGGGUGUAGGGCUGGAAAGGCUACCUCGCUUCUGUUUGCUCAGACACCAAGGUGCCUGAGUCCCAACUGUCCCAUCCAAAUAGAUCUCCCACCACGUACGCUUUGUAGAAGUAUUUAUGGUGAACAAGUUUAUUGCCUCUUGCACCAACGAUGCCUUUCCAUUCUCGGUGCAGCUGUGUGUCCUGGGGAGGUGCCUUGCUACCUUAUAUUUACCUCUGGGGAACUCCCAGGUGCUGAAAACAACCACUGCAGUAAAUGUCCCAGAACUUUGAAGUGAAAUAAAUUAUGUCAUAAGUAAUUGCAUGUUUUUAGGUUGUGCCAACUCAGUAAAUGCCUAUUUUGGAGAAAAUAUGUGGGAUUGGUGAACUUCAGAAGGGGAUGUCUGAUCAGGGGUGGUGCAGGGGGAUCCAUUUUGUCUCCAGUGGGAACCAGUUCAUCAACCCCCUAACAAUGUUCAGAACCACUGGGACACGGCUUCCUGUUUCCCCUCCAGUUUGAGUAUAUCACUGUGAUAGUUAGGUUUCUGGACAUGAACUGUUAAUCAUGACCGUGUUGUAUGUUAUGAAGAAAUCUUAACACGCACACAUCCUAAGUAUGUUUGUUUUCAUGGGCCUGUUGCAGUAUUUGUCAUGCAAUACAGUGUGGAUUAAUGACUUUUCUGCCAUUUGGACAGCCCUGUUUUCGAAGCACCAGUAUUCGCCACUUAGAGAGUGGAUUGAUGCCAGUGCUUGGAGCACUGCUUCUUCCUUCAGCACACCAGAUGGUACUAAAAAUGCAAAAUAUUUCCUAUAACAGCUGUAUCUUUGACAACAAAAUUAAUACCAGCUGAAAUAGCACUGCUGUGUGAAGGGCACAACAGCGAGGUCCUGCAGGCUGAGAGUGCACGCAGGCGCUGGUCGACAACUCACAAUAGCUGCAGCCACACAGAGAAAAGCACCAUGUCAGCGGCUGUGUCCUGUAUGGAAAGCCCUCUGGACAGAGCCCCUUGCACAUUUGUCAGGACGCUAUUGCUCCCCUGAACAUGGAUUGCACUACGCAGCCACAAUCCAGGAACACAUUCCCACCACUCAGUUUCCAAAAAAUCAUCUCAUUUCUAUUUUAAGCUCUGUCUUUGUUGAGGUGAUGAAUCUCUUAAGGAGAAUUUGAAUAGGAAUUAAUCUUGACAAACCCAUGGCCAGCGUCCUAUUGCUUGGAGCAGAUUUGGAAGUAUUCCCACUGAGAUCCAGAACCAGACAAGCAUGCCCACUCUCACCACUGCUAUUCAAUAUAGUCCUGGAAGUUUUUUUUUUUUUUUUUAAGAUUUAUUUAUGUACUUUAACAUCAGAGAGAAGAGAGGCAGAGAGAGAGAGAUUGAGAGAUCAAGAGAUCGAGAUCUUCCAUCUGCUAGUUCACUCCCCAGUUGGUUACAAUAGCCAGAGCUGUGCCAGUCUGAAGCCAGGAUCCAGGAGCUUCCUCUGGGUCUCCCACACAGGUGCAGGGACCCAAGGACUUGGGCCAUCCUCUGCUGCCUUCCCAGGUCACAGCAGACAGCUGGAUGGGAAGUAGAGCAGCCAGGACUUGAACUGGCGUCCUUAUGGGAUGCUGAUAUUGCAGGCAGCAGCUGUACCUGCUAUGCCACAGUGCCAGCCCGACAUAGUCAUGGAAGUUUUAGAAAGAGCCGUUAGGCAAGAAAAAGAAAUCAAAGAGAUUCAAAUCAGGAAAAGAGGAAAUCAAAUUAUCCCUAUUUGCAGAUGACAUGAUUGUAUAUAUAGGGGAUCCAAAAGACUCCACCAAAAGACUGUUGGAACUCAUAGAAGAGUUUGGUAAAGUAGCAGGAAAUAAAAUAAAUAUACAAAAAUCAACAGCCUUGAAAUACACAGACAAUGCCAUGGCUAAGAAAGAACUUCUAAGAUAAAUCCCAUUCACAAUAGCAAAAAAAAAAAAAAAAGAAAAGAAAAGAAAAAAAGAAAAAGAAAUGCCUUGGAAUAAAUUUACCCAAGGAUAUCAAAGAUCUCUACGAUGAGAAUUAUGAAACAUUAAAGGAGGAAAUAGAUAAAGACACAAAAAAAUGGAAAAAACUUCCAUGUUCAUGGAUUGGAAGAAUCAAUAUCAUCAAAAUGUCCAUUCUUCCAAAAGCAGUUUAUGAAUUGAAUGUGAUACCAAUCAAAAUAACAAAGAUAAUCUUGAGAUCUAGAAAAAAUGAUGCUGAAAUUCAUAUAGAAACACAGGAGACCUCAAAUAGCUAAAACAAUCUUAUAAAACAAAAACAAAGCCAGAAGCAUCACGAUACCAGAUUUCAAGACUUAUUACAAGGCAGUUAUAAUCAAAACAAUCUGGUACUGGUACAAAAACAGAUGGACAGAACAGUGGGACAGAAUAGAAAUGCCAUAAAUCAAUCCUAGCAUCUACACCCAACUUAUAUUCAACCAAGGAGCUAAAACCAAUCCCUGAAGCAAGGACAGUCUUUUCAACAAAUGGUGCUGGGAAAACUGGAUCUCCACACACACAAGUAUGAAGCAGGACCCCUACCUUACACCUUACACAAAAAUCCAUUCAAAAUGGAUUAAAGACCUAAGUCUAUGCCCUGAUACCAUCAAAUUAUUAUAGAACAUUGGAGAUACCCUGCAAGAUAUUUGCACAGGCAAAAAGUUCCUGGAAAAGACCCCAGAGGUACAGGCAUUAAAAGCCAAAAUUAACAAAUGGGAUUACAUCAAAUUGAGAAGCUUCUGUACUGCAGAAGAAAGGAAAGUGAAGAGGCAACCAACACAUUCGGAGAAAUUAUUUGUAAACCAUGAAAGUGAUAAAGGAUUAAUAAUCAGAAUACAUAAGGAGAUACAGAAAUUCUGCAACAACAAAACAGACAACCCAUCUAAGAAAUGGGCAAAGGACUUAAACAGACAUAUUUCAAAAGAGGAAAUACAAAUGGCCAACAGACUCGUGUAAGAAAGCUCAGGAAUACUAGCAAUCAGGGAAAUGCCAAAAACAAAAACAAACAAACAAACCAAGAAAACACCACUACGAGGUUUCACCUCACCCCAGUUAGAAUGGCUUUUAUACAGAAAUCAACAAACAACAAAAGCUGCCGAGGAUGUGGGGAAAAAACUUGCCCUAAUCCACUGUUAUUGGGAAUGUAAACUAGUAAAGCCACUGUGGGAGACAGUUUGGAGAUGCCUCAGAAAUCUGAAUAUAGUCCUGCCAUACGACUCAGCCAUCCCACUCAUAGGAAUUUACCCAAGGAGAAUGAAAUCAGCAGACAAAAGAGUUACCUGCACCCCCAUGUUUAUUGCAGCUCAGUUCACAAUAUCAUUCCUAAAUACCUGUCAAUGGAAGAGUGGAUAAAGAAAUUAUGGGAUAUGUCCUCUAUGGAAUACUACACAGUGGUAAAAAACAAGUGAAAUCUGGUCAUUUGCAACAAAAUGGAGGAAUCAUACUUAGUGAUGUAAGCUAGUCCCAAAGGGAUGAAUAUUGUAUGUUCUCCCUGAUCUGUGACAACUAACAGAGCACCUAAAAGGAAACCUUCAGAAGUGAAAUUGACAAUAUGAGAAGCAAGGACUAUAACAGCCCUUGUCUUGACAGUUGAGCAGUUUUUUUUUUUCAAUACUUAGUACCAUUGUUUGAACUCUUUACUUAACAUAGAAUUAAUCAUGUGUGUAUAAAGUAAAUUGAAAAUAGAUCCCAGUAAAAAAUAAGAGUGGAAAUAAGAGAGAGAGGAGCUGUAUCUUUCUGCCUACAUUCCUACACACUUACUUCUAUGGGUAAUGCUAAAAACUUGCCAUGGGAUUCUAAAUCCCAUUAAGCUGGGUGAUAAAAAUGCAAUCUUAAGUGUUGAAGUGAUCAUAUAUAUAGGAUUAAGUGUUAAAGGGAUCAUAUAUAUAAGAUCAAACAUCUGGCAAUAAUAAUAGAAUUAAAAAGGACAGAAUGUUCUAACUUGGGAAGCAGUCCAAACAGCAGACUCAUAAAAUGAGCUUUAAAUAGCACUCUGACCUCAGAGUCAGCCUUGAAGACAUUCUGGUCUGGUUGAAAACCCAUGAGAGCAUUUCAGGCAUGGAAAUCCAAGACACUGUGGCAAAAAAUGUCCUUCAUGAAGAAUGAGUGGGACCCCAGGGAAAAGAAGGGGCCAUCAAAAAAGGAGGUACCUUUCUCUGAAGGGAGGAGAGAACUUCCACUUUGCUUAUGGCCCUGUCUAAAUACUGAUGGAGAUUGUGGACUCAAAAGGCUUUUGGCAGCUCAUGUCAAGAGCCGCUGGUGGUCACUGACAUCAUACGUAAAAGUGUUAAUUUUGGGGGGACUGGCGCCAUGGCUCACUUGGUUAAUCCUCUGCCUGUGGCGCCAGCAUCCCAUAUGGGCGAAGGGUUCUAGUCCCGGCUGCCCCUCUUCUAGUCGGGCUGUCUGCUGUGGCCUGGGAGGGCAGUAGAGGAUGGCCCAAGUCCUUGGGCCCCUGCAUCCGCGUGGGAGACCAGGAAGAAGCUCCUGGCUCCUGGCUUUGGAUUGGCGCAGCGCCGGCUGUAGCGGGCCAUUUGUGGGGUGAGCCAACGGAAGGAAGAUCUUUCUCUCUGUCUCUCUGUCUAUAACUCUACCUGUCAAAUAAAUAAAAAAUUAUAAAAAGGUGUUAAUUUUUAACAAGAGUCACUAUGCACUUACUCCCCAUGCAGAACCUUUGUCCUUAAUGAGUUGUAGAAUCAGAAUUAACUGUAAAACUUGUUCUCAGUUUUUUUUUAUUUUGUGUGUGUGUGCAAAUUGUCAAAUUGUUGAAAUCUUGACUUGGUAUAGAGUUGGUAUUCUGUGUAUGAAGCUAAUUAAAAGGUAAUCUUAAUGGAGAAAGGGACUCAGAAUGGGAGAUGGAGGAGGAGGUGGAAUGGGACAAUUAUUGAAGUCGGCAUUACUUGGAGAACUAAAGUAUGUACUGGUCAGAACAGCAAGACCUAACAUGGGCCAGCAUAAUGAAGUAAGUUGAAUCACAGUCAAUUUUUGUACCCACGUUCAUUAUAAGACAUAAAGUUCCUGCCAGCAAAGUAAGAAUUUGGGGUGCUCAGGGAAUAAAAGGGUUUUGAGGUGAUUCCAAUGUACACCACACAGUUUAUGCUGUCCAGGGUGUCCCUAAACCAAGACUGUGGUUAUUUACUCAACUCCUGAGUGGAGGUUUGGGGACACAUAUCCUCAGCGUGUGUUGCCUCACUUGGUUCUGUGUGUAUUAAGAGCUUUUAUAAAAGGAAGGGCCAAGCUGAAGUCCUCUGGGCACCACUGCCUUACCACAGAGGUAAAUCCAAAGUAAUACUGAGUACCUGAUGGUAUUAGGAGGCCUUAUGCAGCCUUCCAAGACUGCAACGUGGCAAGGAUGUCAAUCUCUGUGUUACCUUCUUCUAAUUCUCUAUUUGCAUGACAGAAAAGACAUGCUUACCCUGGAAAAUGAUCACUAAAAGAUUAACCAGGCAGAUAUAUUCGAGCAAAUUAAUAAUUUUUUUUUUUUGGCAAAUGGUACCCAGCUGAGAUGGUCUAACUUUUUCCUUAAAUAGCUUUACCUGGCAGAGACAGCCGCAGAUCUUUCUGAUCUGGCUCAAGUUUACAUCAGGUUUGAGGCAUACUUCUCUCUUCAGGAUCCUGUCAUUAUGUCGUAUCAUUAUGAGCUGCUGCUGAUUUUGAGAGAAUGGUAAAUGCUGUGAUAAGAUUACACACACACACACGCACACACACAUAUAUGCAUGCAUGAUUCCCAUCAAUUUCUUUGGGCUUACAUGAAGACCAGAUAGUAAAUGUUUUAGGUUUUAAGAGUGAGCAGUAAAAUGAAAGACGCUAUCUAAGCACCUAUGGCUUGCAGUGAGUGCUUCAGGCAGUGCUCAAAUGCUGUUAGAAGACAAGAGCCAAGCUGGAUUUGACAGCAGGCUAGAGUUCAUCAACCAUAGUCUGGGUGACCUGAGCAUAUAAAGAUGUCUCUUUCAAAAUUAGAAAGUUGCAGCUGCGCCUUACAUGAUGAUGAAUGAGUCAGAGGAAUCAAUGAGUUUCUUUGCAUGUUGGGGUGAAGGCUAAUGGGUAAAUAUAACAUUUGAUUAGGUCUAUAGAAAGAGCAAGUGCUCCAGUACACCACUCGCAUAGUGAUUUUAAUGGCUCUCAGGUGUGUGUGUGUGUGUGUGUUUUAAGCUCAUUGAAUGACGAGGUGGAACACAUGACAUGAACUGGUACAAGAGUGACUGUGAAGGGCCCUAGGAUUUCAGAACAGAGCUGUAAAUCGUUUGGCAAUGGUACACUUUUGAAAAUUUUUGAUUUGGUUGACAUUGAAAAUGAAGUGACCCCAAGGUACUAUAGAGGGAGUCCAGUAUGUACUCAGUGCUCUGUAAUCUACACAGAUACGAGUCAGACCUUCCAAGCAGCGUUCAGGUGUUUAGCAAAUAGAAGUGGGGAAGAAAGGGCCUGGACACGAACUGGUUCUGUAGGAACAAGUAAGUUGGCUGAAGCAGUUGUUUGUGCCCCUGCUCUCCUAUCUUUGCUGCUUUGCCAGUCCUUAUUCAGUACCUCCUGUAGUGUCCUGGGCACAUUCCUCAGGAUAAGAUGAUUGAUGAAAUUAAGUGAGGAAAAAUUUGUUCAGCUUAUUUUGCAAAUUGAUUCCAUCGUAAUCUGGCAACAGCUGGAAAUGGUCUGAGUAUGUAUGAGAAUCCCCACUGAAGUGUGGCCAUGGUAGUUAGCAAAGAGAUACUUGACCAGCAGAGAAAUACUUUUUCUUUAGAGUGAAAUGAGAGAUAUUUGUCCAAACCAAGGGUACAUAAAAUUAUUAAGUGUAUACCUAAUGAAUUUUGGGGAAGAUACAUGAAGACAAAACUCUUGGAAGGAUCUUAGAAGUGUCACAUGAGAAUGCCUAUGAAGAACCCCCCCCAACCAUGUCAACAAGUUGUAUAGACGUCCUUGGGCCAUGUUUCUCAGUCAUUGCCACAUGAGCAGACAUGUUUGUGGCAGAGCAACAGCAGAGUGGCAGAACUACAUCCCUGCACUCAAUGCAGGGUGGCAUGCCUUCAGAUCACAGGCAUAGUGUUAUUUUUACACAGCCAUAUGAUGGGUGUCACCUCUGCAAAGCAUUUCAUCCAUCCCUGUCUGUGUAUCAGAGGGCCUGAUGGAAGGGUCAUGCUCUCAAGUAUACACCAUUUGUAGGAACUUGACAAAGUGCCUUGUUGAAUCACAUAAUCUCAGGCACUAGUUGGUUACCCAACUGCUUGUUGAUUACAAUGGAGUGCUUUCUUCAAACCUGAAUCCAAAAUUUGAAAAUUCUGAAUUAAAAAUCUCAAGUUUCACGUGUUGACAUGAUGCUAUAAGUGCAAAAUUCCACACUUGACCUCAUUUAACAAAUCAGUGAAAAUAAGGUGAACUACAAAUAUUGUAGCUUGGUGCUAUAGUAUAAAGUAUAUAUGAAGCAUAAAUGAAUUUAAUUUCUUCCCAAGAUAUUAUUAUUAUUAUUAUUAUUAUUUUUUUACAGGCAGAGUGGACAGUGAGAGAGAGAGAGAGAGACAGAGAGAAAGGUCUUCCUUUGCCGUUGGUUCACUCUCCAAUGGCCGGCGCGCUGCGGCCGGCGCACCGCGCUGAUCCGAUGACAGGAGCCAGGAGCCAGGUGCUUUUCCUGGUCUCCCAUGGGGUGCAGGGCCCAAGCACCUGGGCCAUCCUCCACUGAACUCCCGGGCCACAGCAGAGAGCUGGCCUGGAAGAGGGGCAACCGGGACAGAAUCCAGUGCCCUGACCGGGACUAGAACCCGGUGUGCCGGCGCCACUAGGCGGAGGAUUAGCCUAGUGAGCCGCGGCGCCGGCCCUUCCCAAGAUAUUAUAUGUGUGCAAGUAUUCAAAAAUCUGAAAAAAUAGCUUGAAAUCUGAAACACUUCUAUUUCUAAGCAUUUGAGUAAGGGAUACUCAACCUACCUAUUACAGUAUGUUCUCAUUAGAAGAUAAGUGUUCUGAAUGUAUGAGCCACUCUUGUCUACCAUACUUAUUCCAGCAUCACUGCAAGAAGAUUCACUGUCUCACAUACCAUCAUCAUAUGCCAUACCAUUUUACAAGUAAACAUACAAGACCUGUAGACACUGCUGAUCAGUUCACAGUUUAGAAGACUCCAUUUCCCACAAGCAGCUGACUUUUCAGGAUGGUUGAGUACUUCAUAAAGACUCACUUAUUCCCACAAACUGGGAACAAGACUGUAUGAGUUUGGAUUGCUGUCCUUCACUGGCAAAUGUUCUGAACCAGGGAUCAAUAUAACAGCACUACCUUCUGUAGACCUAAUGGAGGAGUCAGAAUAAAAAGGUGGACCCCCACCCUGGCAUGAGUUCAUUAGCUAAUCCCAAUAUUCUUGGCUCUGUUGCUCUCUAUUUCACCAAUAAUAGUUGUAUUGCAUUGCAGUUGGAAACUGCUGAUUAUGGGAUUGGGACUUUUUCAAACCAUUGAGUGAAGGUAAAGUUGGACUUUUGGUGUUGGUUGUGGUCAUUGACUCUCCUAUGGAGAGGAGGUGGAUUUACUGCUCUUCAGUGGGAGUUGGGAGGAUGAUCGGCAGAACACAGGUGAUCUCUGUGGAUAUGUCCUCUUCCUGCCAUGUCUGUUACUAAGAGUUGAAGAAUACUACAAGAGGGUUAGACCUCCUCCCGACUGAAAUGUAUGUAAAGGUUAAGGAAACACAGAACACAAGGCAGAAAGGCAAAGACGAAAAUGCAGCUAAAACCCCUGGCAAACUGUGGAAAUGAUGACUCAGCUGUUCUUUGUGUGUGUGAAAAUGUGUGCAUUUGUAUAUACUUGUAUCUGUAUGUUCAUGCACUUCCAUGUUUGUGUCCCUAAGCUUAUAUACAGUGUAUCAGUGGAUAUGGAUAGUGUAUGUGUAUAUAGUGCAUAAGUGCACAUGCAUAUAGUCCCAAUUUUUCUUCUAUACUGCAGUAAGGGUAUGUUUUAGGGUUAUUAUCCACUUGAGCCUUUGGUCUAUAGCUUGGUAUGGUAUUGAAUCAGUAUUUUGAUUGGACUAGCACUAGAUGUCACCCAUAAAUUCUACAUAAGGAAUUGAACAUACUCUACAGUGAGAAGUUGUGCUAGUUAAUCAAGAAGGUGGAAGUGUUUGGGGAAAUAUGAGCAAUGGCAUCAUUUUGUUACAGAUGUGUAAUUUAAAAAAUUUAAGGUAUAAGGAAAGGGUUGUCGUAACUCUGUGUUAGGGUGGACUGAAGUGAAUAUUUAUUGGCUUUUUGUAGGGUGAGAGGAAUUUAUCGUCCUUCUGUAGAUACCCCCCCCAAAACUACAGACUAUUGAGGGCCCCACACAGGGACAGUGCUGGUGUCUAGAGAUAAGAGAACAGGAGUGUCCUAAGCCUCCAGGGACAUUUCUAAGGAACAGCAAUAGAACGGAGUCUGGUUCUCUUGGCCUGUUGUAUGCUGAAAGUUGACCGGAUUUUUAACUAAUUGCUUUGCUGCUGUUCUCUGGCCUUCUACAUGAUUCUGGGUAUCUUCCAGUCUUUAUCAUACAUUGUUUUCUGCUUAACUAGCUUUUUUUAUUCAGUUUACAUUUUGUACCACACUAAGAAUUAUUCGAAGAGGGAGGGAUUCAUAGAUUUCACAUUAGCUUCUCUUUGUCAUAAGCACCAAAUGCACAUUUUCAAUAUCAAAUCUAUUUAGUGUAUCCGAACAAACAUAAAUCCACUUGAAGUCAUAGUAGUUACUGAAUUAUAUUUGGCAAAUAUUUUAUCUUUAAUCAUUUUUCUGUAUUCUGAAAGUCUUGGGUUGCUUUUUUUAUAUAAAGUUUGGCCUUUUGGCUAAGAUCAAGUGUAAUAAAUUUCACAGGUACAGCUUUAGGAAUAUAGCUGUUCUUCCUCCCAUGCCCGCCCUCUAACCCCCACUUCCUACUCCCUCUCCCAUCCCAUUCUUUGUUAAGAUUCAUUUUUAAUUAUCUUUAUAUACAGAAGACAAAGUCUAUAGUAAGUAAAGAUUUCAACACUUUGCACCCACACAAACACACAAAGUAUAAAGUAUUGUUUGAAGACACGGUUGACCAUUAAUUCUGAUAGUACAAUUCUUCAAGGACAGAGGUCCUACAUGGGGAGUAAGUGCACAGUGAUUCCUGUUGUUGAUGUAACAAUUGGCACUCUUAUUUAUGACGUCAGUGAUGACCUAAGACUCUGGACAUGAGCUGCCAAGGCCAUGAAGCCUUUGAGUCCACAAUCUCCAUCAGUGUUUAGGCAGCGGCAUAAGCAAAGUGGAAGUUCUUUCCUCCCUUCAGAGAAAGGAUAUGUCAGCAAGCACUGAGAAGCUCAGAGAAGUGCAGCAGAAACGUCGCGGCAGGAAUCGGACUUGUCCAGAGUCACCGCAAAGCAGGGUCUGCAGGCGCAGCGGCACACACUUCCUCAGGGCCCACCAGGUGCUGGGGGUGUGUUCCCGAACUGCGAUGAACAACCUUUGAGGAAGGUGCUGCUGUGGGUGCCACUCUGAGAUAAGGAAACUAAGCCACAGAGAAAUAAUUUACAUGAAGAUAGUGACAGGACAGGUAUUCCAAAGAAGGUACAGAACAUUUGCUCUUAACCGCUGGCCUCUCCACCUUUAAAUAGCAGUUUCUCAGGGAUGGGGUUGUCAGGUUCCCUAGGGUUGCAGUGUCAAGCACUCUGCUUAAACCUUCACAUAUAGGCUCUGUUGUAUUUGUGACUUCCUUUUCAUCAGAAUUGUUCACCCAUUCUCAUUCAUUCUCCUUCCCUCCCUCCCACCUCCCCCUCCACCUCUCUCCACCACUCCCCCUGUCAUCCUACUUCUCUUCUUCCCUACCCUAUAUUGUUUCUCUAGUAAUUAAAUAGAGACGUGUACUUCUUUAGUCUGUUCAGAUUUUUGAACUUGUUAAAAUUUAGCCCUGUAUUUUCUUUUCUUUUCUUUUCUUUUUUUACUGUAUCUGUAUAUAGUGGCAACAAGAGAGGGGAGAACAAGUUUAUAUCACCUCCCAGAACACCACUUGUUUGCAUGUAUUCUUCUUCUUUUUUUAAAGAUUUAUUUAUUUGAAAGGCAGAGUUAGAGAGAGAUAGAGACAGAGGCAGAGAGAGAGAUAGAGAGAGAGAGUGUGUGUCUUUCAUAUGCUGGUUCACUCCCCAAGUGGCCGCAAUGGCUGGAGCGGGCCGAUCCAAAGCCAGAAGCCAGGAGCCAGGAGCUUCUUCCGGGUCUCCCACAUGGGUGUAGGGGCCCAAGGACUUGGGCCAUCUGCUGCUGCUUUCCCAGGCCUUAGUAGAGAGCUGUAUCAGAAGUGAAGCAGCCGGCCCUUGAACCAGCGCGCACAUGAGAUGCUGGCACUGCUGGUGGUGGCUUUACCUGCUGCACCACAGCACCAGUGCACGUGUUCUUCUCAACAAGUGCAUGUGAAUUGGGAAGAGAGAGUUGUCCACCAGUGCAGAAUGGAGCACAGCUGGAAAGCUUGUGUACCUUGGCUGCAGAGGGAAUGUGGACUCAGACGUCUGUGCUUUGCCAAGGGGAUCUCAGGAGCACGAGAUAUCUGAAUCUAAUGUGAUGCGGUUGGGUAUCAGAUUUCUUUGGCCAAGAGGUGACGGCUUCAUCUUUAACCAUAUGUCCCUCCAAGAGUUCUUUGCUGCCUUAUUCUAUCCUCAGACAACCUAGAGACCAACUGAACCCAGCCAUUGCAAGUGUGACACAGCUUCUCAUGGCAAAUGUGGUCAGGUCUGCAGCCACUUGAGGGGAUGAGGGUAUUCUUUGGAAUCUCUAACAGCAAAAGUACCAACAUGCUGGAGACAUACUUUGGCUUUCUCCUAUCCAAAGAGAUAAAGCCAAAAAUAACCCAGUGACUUCAAAGUGAAUGAAUGAAUAUAGAGAUUUAGUUUUGCAAAAUUCUGGAGAUCUGUUUCAUAAUAAUGACUUAACACUAUUGAACUGUGCACUCAAAAAAGGUUAAGAUGAUAAAUUGUGUUGUGCUUACAGCACAAACAUGCACAAGCACAUGCAUUUAAGGCAAUUGUGGGUUUUUUGUUGUUGUUGUUUUGUUUUUUUACAGAUUUGUUUGUUUAUUUGAAAGUCAGAGUUACAUAGAGGAGGAAAGGCAGAGAGAGAGAGGUCUUCCAUCCACUGUUUGACUCCCCAGUUGGCUGCAACGAUCAGAGCUGCACUGAUCUGAAGCCAGGAGCCAGGAGCUUCCUCCAGUUCUCCCACGUCGGUGCAAGGUCCAAGGACUUGGGCCAUCUUCCACUGCUUUCCCAGGCCAUAACAGAGAGCUAGAUCGAACCGGCCCCCAUAUGAGAUGCUGGCACUGCAGGUGGUGUCUUUACCAGCCAUGCCACAGCGCCAACCCCAGACUAUUGUCUGGAAUUUUAAAAACUGUUACGUGAUACUCUGUUCUUUAGCUUCUCAGUUGUAAGAUAUGAAGGUGCAUCAACAAGUCUGUGGUAAAGUCUCUGUUUCUUUGGGUUGCAUUCUGAUCAUCCUGUUGUGGGUGAUGACAUACUUCACUCAUUUCCUCUUCACUAAUGCUUAGCAUUCCAAAUUAACUCUUGAAAUAACUCAUUCUUUGUCUCUAGGAUUGUAAUUAGUUUCCUUUACAAAAUUUCCUGCUUAUUUUUAUAAUGUCUCCUUGUACCUGUUUCUAUUGCCAUCUUAUAUUUUACUGCAUGUAUCAAACAUAAUUGUUUUACAUAUUAUAUUGGAUAAUUUCAGUAUUGGAAGUAUUUCUGAGGUUGUGUUUUUUAAUUAAUUAAUUAAUUAAUUUGAGAGGUAGAGUUGCAAGCAGAGACAGAGAGAAAGGUCUUCCAUCCGAUGGUUCACCCCCCAAAUGGCUGCAACAGCCGGAGCUACGCCAAUCCAAAGCCAGGAUCCAGGUGCCUUUUCCUGGUCUCCCAUGCGGGUGCAGGCGCCCAAACACUUGGGCCAUCCUCCACUGCUUUCUGGGGCCACAGCAGAGAGCUACACUGGAAGAGGAGCAACCAGGACUAGAACCCGGCGUGCAUAUGGAAUGCUGGUGUUGCAGGUGGAGGAUUAACCUAGUGCACCAUGGCAUCGGCCUCUGAAGUUGUUUUUUAGGAAUUUUUUGAGAGGCUGGCACUAUGGCACUAUAGGUUAAGUCUCUUCUUGUGGUGCCAGCAUCCCAUGUGGGCACCGGUUCAUGUCCUGGCUGCUCCUCUUCCAAUCCAGCUCUCUGCUAUGGCCUAGGAUAGCACUGGAAGAUGACCCAAGUGCUUGGGCCCCUGCACCCAUGUGGGAGACCCAGAACAAGCUCUUGGCUUUGGAUCAGUCCAGUUCUGGCCUUGUUGGCAUUUGGAGAGUGAAACAGUGGAUGGAAGAACUCUCUCUCUCUCUCUCUCUCUCUCUCUCUCUCUCUCCCCCCUCCCCCCUACCCCCGUGUGUGUGUGUGUGUGUGUGUGUGACUCUGCCUUUCACAAAAAAAAAAUGAAACAAUUUUUUAGAUGUGAAUUGAAAACACUUCCUCUGGGAAUAAAUUGGAUUUGCUUUUACUUUGUACUGAACAACACUACGGACCUGGAUUUACUUUAAAUAAUAAUCUUUGGAUUCACAUAUUUGAGAUUAAACCAAGUGGACUGACUCAGUAUGUCAUGUGAGAACACCUAGCAUCUGUGUAGUCACAGGAAACUGUUCUUCAUCAUCUCUAUCCAUAGCCCAAACCGAGAGGGAAAAUAUUUGUGGUUUCCAUCACCGUUUCACUAAGGGUACAGCAUUUUCUGGAGCAACCUCCUGCAAGGUGCUUUUCAAAAUGGCCCUAGCACUGCCGAGCCCCCAGCUUUGUCUUGGAUGCUUGGCCCUGGGAGUUUAGUGUACCCAGAAGAUCCAGUGUCGCUUCUCUGUCUCACGUCUUGCCACUGUUGUGACUCAGGGACCAGCACACAGGUUCUCCUGUCAUCCCACAGGUUCUCUUUCUCACUUUAAGCACAUAAUUCAUCAAACAGUAGUGUGUGUUGAUAGCAAGAGACUGCUUGAUUCUGUAUUUUCUGGGUUGCCUGCAAUAGGUCUAUAAUUGAGGAAUACUUUCCACAUGUUUGAUACAAUAUGUGGGUCAGAUACAAGUGUUUUAUUUAAUAACCAUAAUUUGUCAUUUUGCUUUGUUUUGCUUUUGUAAAGAUAUAUUUUUUAUUUUUAAAAUUUUAUUUAAGGUAUGCACAUUUCAUGUAUUUCAUAUAUACACAUUUAGGACCAUAGUUAUAUUUCUCACUGUACCCUCCCGUUUUUAGUACAUGAUACUUCCAUUUUAUUAUUCAAAUUUGUGUUUUAAAAAUAACGUAUGCUUUUGCUGAUGAUUUUGAAAAGUCAUCCACAUCAAAAGUUUAUGAAGGAAUUUUUUUUUUUUUUUGACAGGCAGAAUGGAUAGUGAGAGAGAGAGACAGAGAGAAAGGUCUUCCUUUUUCCGUUGGUUCACCCUCCAACGGCCUCCACGGCUGGUGCACCGCGCUGAUCCGAAGGCAGGAGUCAGGUGCUUCUCCUGGUCUCCCAUGGGGUGCAGGGCCCAAGCACUUGGGCCAUCCUCCACUGCCUUCCCGGGCCACAGCAGAGAGCUGGCCUGGAAGAGGGGUAACCAGGAAAGAAUCCGGCACCCCGACUGGGACUAGAACCCGGUGUGCCAGUGCCGCUAGGUGGAGGAUUAGCCUAUUGAACCGGAAUUUUUACAUAAAAUAAAAGUUUUCUUUAUUCCAACUGAAACUGACUUCUGUAUGUAAGAUGAGGAAAGAGUUACUUUGCCAUUUCCACAACAAACCACCAGCCAGCAGCUCCUCCUGGCUCAGACAUGUGAGUUUUCCUACCCUUCUUGAGGUGAGUCUUCAUUAGAGAUGAAUUUUUGAUGAUUAACUAUAUUUAAUGAUGUUAUAUACUUAGGUUAAAUGAUAUAGCCAAUAAUUAUUUUAUCUUUUUAUAUUAAUUUUAUAUGUUGUAAUGUGAUUGGAAAAUUUUGCAUGUCUGAAGUUGUUUUAGCAUAAGAUUCAUAGUAGUUAUGAAUUUAAAUUUUUUAUUGUUUCUAGAGUUAUAUGAGUUUAUUGUGAAAUUCUGAUAUGUCUUACUUGAUUUAAUAUAACACUGGCAAAUGUUUGGAGAGGACACUGUCAGGUUUAAACUCAUUCAUCUAUUUUGACCCUAACAUUCUUUUAAAAAAGCUACGUGUUUAUUCUUGCUAGAGAAAUACUUUCUCAAUUCUGUAAUUUGCAUUACUUUAUUAAUGAAAAUGAAUACUGUCUUUCAUGCUAUAAAUAUCAUAUAUACCUCACUUUUUAAAUUUGUCCUUUACUCAUGAAUUAAUAUAUCUUAAUUAUACUGACUUUUGUCUAUCUUAUUUUAGAUGUCUGUUCUCCUUGGAUGUUUGCUUUCUGAUGGGUUUUGAAUCUGGUGCUUUUUAAUUUGCAUUUUGUUUUUUGCCUGCGUUGGAUCUCCCAUCUCCAAAUGCUUCAGGUCUUUGUUUUACCAUCCAUCACCCUCUGUGGUGCCUGCAAAAUGCAAAAGAUACUUCAAAAAGAUCAUGGAAAAAUGAAUUAAAACUGUCUAUUUUGCUGCAAAAACGAUUUUGGAAUCAUGCACAUUUUUCAAAGUAUACAUUUUCCAUUAACUUUUUGAAGCUGCCGAGUCUGGGUGUUAGUGUAUGUGCGUGCGUUGUUACGUAUAUAUGUGUGUAUACACAUAUAUUACUGUGAUGAUGGAAGAUGUCUAGCAAUGGAUGAGCUUCUGCCAUAGGCCAUAGGCUGUUUUGAAAGGAUUUUAGUGUCCCAUAGAUUAGACUGUGUUGAAUUUUCAUUUAAAAUUGCUCUGAGAAUAGAAAUGUUGAUAAAGAUGAUAGUGUCACAGAUAUGUAUAUCAAUAUAUCAAUAUGAUCUGCAAGUUGAUUUUACUGAGGCUGCCACUCCAAUCAUUAGGAAUAUUUUAACAUAAAAUUGAAAGUUUCCUAAUGCAAAAACUAAGACUGUUCACUUUCUGAUUAUUUUCUUUUGAAAAAAAAUUAAUAACAAAUGUAAAAUCACCUGACUUUAAUUGCAGAGAAAAUGUGUGAAGUGACAUUUCGGCAUGUUGGUAUUCUCAUGAUGUCAGCUAAGAGAUGUGUGAAAUCAGCCAAGGCUACUGUCAUUAGUUUAUUCAGGGCCUCUCAACCAGAGAAACAAACAAUUAGCGUGUUAAAAUUAUUCACUCUUAACAUAUCAUUAUGAUCCCUAAGUAUCAGGCUGACCAUGUUGAUUGGACCCUGACAGAAACGGGCAAGAAUGCCAUUUAGCGAGCAGCACAGUGUUGUCAACGGGCUAAUAAAGAUGACAUUCUCAGUGUCAGCUGGGGAGAGCAGCAGGGGAGGAGCGAAGCGGCUGGCGAGCACACUCAGCCCGGCCAAGGCUGCCGGGCCGCUCAGGCUCCUCAGCAGUGCUGCUCUGGGCGUCACUGCCGUCUCCUCAGCACACCCUGCCCGGGCUCCGUCAGCCUUCCCUCUGCAAGGCCGUCUCAGGCAGGGCGCUGCUCGGGGCGGGGGAGCGACGCCAUGCUUCGGAGCGCUCAAGGAGAGGGUUCUGGUCUUUGACUUGCAGUUUAAUUCAGAUAUAGUAGUACUGGACCUUGAAAUACUACUCCUUGCAUCUGUCCACUCCACCAUCUGUAACCAAUCACAUACAGAAAGUUAAUUCAGGAGUUUCUAAAACAUUUUUGGAAAGUCAAAACCUAUGAUUUUUCCAUAUGAGAGUUUUAAAAAAAAGAAAGAAAAUGUAUAUGACCAUUUUUAAGUUUUGUAGUGGGCUGUGAGGUCUGCCCCCCCAUGUCAAAUUAGACAUGUGAUGUCAAAGCACAACUAUAGACAACAGCAGGUAGAAGUUUGGGUGGAUUCUUCUAGAAGAUGUCCUGACGCAGACUGUGGUCACUCUGACUUAGGGUGUGGGUAUCCCAAAUCCAGGCUUAGUGGCUGUGCCCAACACCAACCCCAUGCAGUUUCUUUAGACUCCUACAUAAGUUUGCUAAUGCUUUCCCUAGCUUUUGCAUUUGCUAGUGCCGUCCAAAGCAUUCUUCCUUUCUGUUAUUAGUGCCUGUCCCCCAGGUUACCUUUCUGUGUAAGGAGCAAGGCCCAGAGAACUUCAUUAUCACAUGGAAUGAAACUGGCCUUUUGUGCACCUGGCUCUAGGGCUGUCAGCCUGAUUUCUCAGCAGGUUAGACACAUAGCUCAGCUGCAGCUUGGUGACAUGCCAUGUACAUGAGUGACACCAGUUUGUUGGGGCCAAGCACAGGAGCUUAGUUCAAAUCAGUGGCCUCUUAUAAUUCGUAGGUUAACAUUUGGGGCUAAUCUCACCAUGUUCAUGUCCUUUGUCUUACUGAUAUUGGUCACGAGAAGAAGGCUAGGACUGGCAGGCCAUUCCUCUUUGUGCUCCUCCCUGACCCAGUCUCUUGCCCUUUCCUGCACUGGGUCCUGCAGAGCAGUGACCAGCAGAUUCCUCAUGUCCUGGGUCUUUUUGAGGCAGGGCCCCUUCACCUUCAGGUCUGAGGAAAGCCUGACUCUCUCCCACGGACUCGGCCACGCCAGGGUUAGGUGGCGCUUGCCCUCACGCCCCUCUCACUCCCAGACCUGGAGAUACUGAAGGUGUCUUUCCUUAUUGAUUGUGGUCCAGGCCCUGUCCUGUUCCCCAGAUCCUGCCAGCGUGGACUGUCGGUCAGCCCUCUUCUGUGUUGCUGUCAUUGUCUACAUCCCGUGAAGGACCUGCCUCCUGUCAUUCUCUGUCAUAUCCCACAGUAGCCUGAUGUGACUUCCGUAUGCAGAUAGAUAGCAUGGUGACCACGGCCCUGCUGGGCCAGAACCUCCUCCCGCACUGAAGGAGGGAGUUCUCGCUCCACCUGCACAGUCUCCGCUGCAGACCUCCCUCGACCUUGUCCUCCAAGGUGACAGCAGCCCUGUCUGGCCAGAAUUUCAGUCACAAGCGUCCUGUUUCCAGACCCCUGACUUCAUCUUUUCCAGCUCAGUCCAACUCCUAAAUCCCUACAACCGACUAACCCUACAUGGAGCUAUUACCCAUUUUUUAAAAUCACCUUCUUAACUUUCCUAUGUGCUCUUUAUACCCUCGUUUUGUUGGGGGUGUUUCCAUAGGUUCCAUAGAACCUUGAAACCUGGGCUGUUCCCCUGAUGUUCAGAAGGCCAGUAACUCACGUCAGUUUGGUGGGAGAAGGUCGGUAUUUAUUGUGAAGCACAGAGCAAGGAGCCAGGCAGCUAUCACUUACUCCCAGGAUCGCCGAGGGUAAGGGGUGAAAGUUCUGAUAGGUUGACAUUGGAGCUGAGAGGUGUGUAUUUAGUUUGUGUCCAAGCUCCUGGUUGGUCAGUGGUACUUGUGACUUUGCUUUGAUUAGUCAGCAAUGCCGUACUCUUUGGGGGAAUUUUUAGAGUGGGCAAGUAAGUCUUGAGGGGUGGGGGAGGCAGAUGUGGGUUGCAUGUAAGUGGCAGUUACUUUCUGCCCCAGACUUGGAAUGUAUUUGUGAAGACAUAGAAAUCUGAAUAAACCUCUCUUAUUAACACUGGCCAGCAGGGUUUGAUCCAAUGGAGAAACAAUUGACCGAGUCCAUUGAUGAGAAUCUUGUAGGGCCAGCUGCAUCAGUUCUUAACUUAGUGAGUUCCUUUAGCCAUUCUAAGGGAAGGGCAAGGUCACUUUGCAUUCAGGGUGGGAAGGUGGGUCCUGUGCUCUUAGGGACACUUAAAGAAGGAUUUUAUUUCAGUAUUUCAGUUUCCCUACUUUGUAAGCUAAGGUUCAAAUAACUGAAUAAAGAAAAAUUGAUAAAAACCAUGCAGUCUGCAAAAUUAAUAAUACUAAAUGAUUUCUAAGUUCAAAAAGAUGAUAUAAGGAACACAUGUAAGGUUGAAUGUUAUUAUCUUUUUUUUUUGAAGAUUUAUUUGUUUAUUUGAAAGAGUUACAAAGGGAGCAGAGAGAGAGGGGUCUUCUAUCCACUGGUUCACUACCUAGAUGGGAGGAACAACCAGAGCUGGGCCAGGCCAAAGCCAGGAGAUAGGAGCUUCAUCCGGGUCUCCCAUGGCUGUAACAGGGGCUCAACACUCAGGUCAUCUGCUGCUGCUUUACCUAGGCAAUUGGCAGGGAGCUGGGCUGGAAGGGGAGUAGCAGGGGCAUGAACUGGUACCCAUAUUGGAUGCUACCAUCAUAGAUGGCAGCUUUACCCAUUAUGCCUCAACACCAGCCCCAGGGACAAUAUCUUUAUUACAUUUCAGAAUACAUGGAAUUCACCUUAACAUGUCAUUUAAAUUUAAUUUAGAAACAUUUAAACUAGAAUCAUUUAAACUAAAAUUAAAUAAGCAAAGCAUUAACUGCAAGAAGUUUUAAAGAAAGUACUAAUACAAGCAUAAAGAAACGAACUUAAAAUGUGGGCUUACAUAGAUAAAUAUGUGAGACAAAUGAAAAGUAAAAUAAAAAUAGAGAAGAUUAAUGUAAGCAAAUGCUGAUUUUUUUGAAAACACUUAAUAGGAUAGACCUCUGUUAAAAUUGACAAAGAAAAAAUAAGAAAACAAAAAAAUGCAGAGUAGCAACCUCAGACAGAAUUGACAUUAAAGGGGCCGGUGCUGUAGCAUAGCAGGUAAAGCCGCCGCUGUAGUACCAGCAUCUCAUAUGGGCUCUGGUUCUAAUCCCAGCUGCUCAUCUUUCAAUCCAGUUCUCUGCUAUGGCCUGGGAUAGCAGGAGAAGAUGGCCCAAGUCCUUGGGCCCCUCCCCCAUGUGGGAGACCUGGAAGAAGCUCCUGGCUCCUGGCUUCGGUGCAGCUCCGGCCAUUGCAGCCAUCUGGGGAGUGAACCAGCGCGUGGAAGAGCUCUUCUCUUCUCUCCCCUCCCUCCCCUCUCCUCCCCUCCCACCCUUCUCCUCCCCUCCCCCCUCCCCUCCCCUCUCCUCUCCUCUAGAGAUUUUCUGUGAUUUUCAAGUUAAAUAAAUAAAGAAUUGAUACUAAAAGUGGUUAUGAGUAUCAUAGCAACAAUAUGCUAACCAAUAUGAAUACUUACCUGAAAGGAGUAUAUUUGAAAGCUUAAGUGAAUGGGGCAGUUUGGAAGAAAUGUGAAAAUACUAGGACUGGCACAGUUCUCCAAAGCUAGUUGAGAUCAGCAGUUUUGUUUGUAGGGCACCGCAUUUCUCUAGGAAGCUAGUUCGCUGCGGCUAUGGUUUGAGUGAUUUGUUUGUCAUCCAGGGAGGGAUUCAGGUUUGGGAGGCCUCAUCCUCAGUCUGAUGUGUUGUGCCUGGUGUACAUUCCUUAGGGAAUUGGGGGCACUGCCCUCUGCAGGAUAAUGGUAACGCUCUUGGGACCUGAGUGGUUGCAGGGGUGAGCCCAGGCCAGGCCUGGAUCCCUCUGUACUCACAGCUGACUGUGGGAUCUCACACUCCCGCACAGGCUUCCACACUGUGGGGCCAUCUGUCACAUGGCCCUCAUAGAUCUGCGGUAAGGCCAUGCCCUACCCCAAAAUCCCCAGUGCUGCGAGCUAAAUCACCUGUUUGUUUGUGAAGUUAUGCAACUUCAGGUAUUUUGUUACAGUUGUGAAAAAUGGAUGAAUACAGCUUUAAUACUAGAAGAAUUGAUCUUACAAUCUCACUAUAGCAAAAGAGGACAAGGAGAAAGGCAAGUGGGGGCAAAGAAGAAAGUAUAAAUUUGAAGAAAAUAUAAGACACUGAAGAUGAAACAAGGUCCAAACAUCUGACUUCCAAAAGCUUCAGUCCUGGAUGAUUGUGCAGAUACAUUGCACUAAGCUUUUUUAAAAAAGAUUUAUUUAUUUGAAGGCAGUUACAGAGAGGCAGAGAGAUAGAGAGAGAGGUGUUCCAUCCACUGGUUCACUCUCCAGAUGGCUGUAAUGGCUGGAGAUGCGCUGAUCCGAAGCCAGGAGCUUCUUCCAGGUCUCCCACGUGGAUGCAGGAGCCAAGCACUUGGGCCAUCCUCUACUGCUUUCCCAAAGUAGAGCAGCAGGUACACGAAGUGGCACCCAUGUGGGAUGUCGGCACUGCAGGCUGCAGCUUUACUAACUAUGCCACAGUGCUGGCCACUGUACUAAACUUUUUUUUUUGUCAGAUAGAGUUAGACAGAGAGAGAGACAGAAAGGUCUUCCUUCUGUUGGUUCACCCCCCAAAUGGCCACUAUGGCCAGUGUGCUGCGCCAAUCCGAAGCCAGGAGCCAGGUGCUUCUCCUGGUCUCCCAUGUGGGUGCAGGGCCCAAGCACUUGGGCCGUCCUUCACUGCCUUCCCGGGCCACAGCAGAGAGCUGGACUGAAUGAAUGGUACUAGGUAAACUAUAUCACAUGAAAAGAUAGUUUAAAAAUUUCCAGUGAAAGUCCACAGUGGCUCUCCAUUGAAAUUCAAAGCCUCCGGUUGUGCAGAGGGUGGCUGUAUCCAGUCAUUGUGGAAUCAGUGGAUCUGAAUCAUAGAACUUUCUAAGUCCUGUUCCAUAUUCCCCUUGAUGACCUGAGCAUUGUCCCUUGAUGCCAUUCUCUGAACCAGAUCAGCUUUCAACUGGCUAAACCAAGCUCCAUCUGGAAACCCAGAUGCUGCGUCUGGUCUGCACUACUCAGUAAGAACAUCUUCCCCCUUCUGCCAUCAAGGAAAUGCCAGUUGAUAUCUUAAUUGUUGCUAUCUGGCAGAAGAAGCAUACACCUGUUGACAGACUGGCUCAAAACAAUUUUGGAAGGAAAUUUCAGAACACAAGAUUCCUCUCAGGUCAGGACCACUUGAGUCUGCCACAAAAGAAAGGGCUGGUACCUGACUGCAUGGGCUGCUGCUUGCACAGGUGUGCAUCCCCGUUCUUCCUGGCCGACGUGCAGCCAUCAGCCCUGCAGCCAGCCCUGGACUGAGCAAUCCCACAGAAAUCUGCCAGGAACCGUCUCUUGGGACACUUGCUCCAGGUUUUGGAUAAUGCCUGGAAAAUGUAUUUAUGAAAGAUGUGGGAGAUUUUCAACCUUGGCAAAUGAAAGAUGUUUAUAAAUCCAUCCUUAAGUGGACACACAUUGUACACAGGCAGGGCAGCUUAGCAGGGAUAUCCUGUGAAAUGUCUUUAAUAAAUACACAAUUAGAGAAUCAGGCCUGUAGGCUUUCCUGGAUGAGACGUGGCUGCAGCAGCCUGUAGCUGGGGUUUGAAAGCUGAGGCUUCCUCUGACCCCAGGAGGGCGGCAGCCUUCUCCUGCACAAACCCCUGGCAUUGAGUGCAUUGCACCUCCUCGUGAUUUUCCAGAGUCCAACUUGGCCAGCUCUACCUACACAUGUUCAGCUUUGCAGUGAUUUAUGUCAUGUGUUCCCUCUGCUUCUUUCAAUUUGGCAUUGGUUCCUAUCAUUCCCAUAUGUCAACAGGUUACUUUCACUUCAGCCAUCUUGGACAGGCCCCCGAGAUAACCAUGGUUUCCAAACCAGGGAAAAUGGUUAUAGGAAAAUAAUGUGAAUGAGCUAUCCGAUUCCAAACAUGCUCGCUUCCCACGGAUUCUUAAUUCCUGCACUCAAGACUCUUGGGGACCUUCUCUCCCUGGGUGGGCCCUGGUGGUUUCGACUCCUGUGUUCUGUUGAGCCCCAGUCCUCUCUGAAGAGUUAGAUGCAGAGCACUUCAGCCCACAGUGGAAGCACAGCUUUGCUCUUUGCUUAACGUCCGUCAUUCCCAGAGCCAGGAACACUUAAUUCAUCUCCUUCCUCUUAUUAAGGACCACUGUCUACUGCGCGGACAAUUGAAGGCUGGCUUUAAAACACCCUUUCCUCAAGGAAAUGUUAUUUCACUUUUGAAAAGGACACAUCAUUUUAAUAGGAAACUGUUCAUUUCAUUACAGUUCCUUGUAGAAAGGAAGAGGUGUAGCUCCCAUUGUGUGUAGUGCGCCAGCUGUCGCAUCAGGUGGGCUGAUACAGGGCACCAAUGCUGGGUCAACACAGUAAGAACAUCGAGGUGAAAAGAGAGGAAGUCUAGCACAGGCUGUUUCCAUCACUGAUUCUCAGUAGGCGCAUGUUGAGUAUAAAGGUUCCUCUCCUAACUAACUCUGCCGUCCCAGCAUCUGGAGUGUAUAUGGAGCCUGGUGGGGAGGCAGUCUCUGCUUCUUCUAGUUCCCCUGACAAGGUCCUGUGGGUGCUACUUCCCUGCAGGGAAUGCAGUCAAAGCUUCACAAAGCCGUUAGGUUUGAUUUCCUCAUGUUCGGGACCAAGGAGUAGGGUGGCUCUGGCCUGGCUCGUUACUGUGCGGUUCUUCCUCACCAUCACACUGCAGGCAACGGAGUUUGUGUGCAGAGUUGCUUGGGUUGCCGUUUUCAAAGCAGGGAUCUUGGCAGUCCUUCUCAGAGCCAAGUUGUCAUUGACUUUCUGUAGCCAGGGAAGCUUUGCACCCAUUUCGAUCUCAGCAUGUCAGCUUGAUAGUUCUUUGAAGAAAGCAGACAGACAUUUCAUCUGGCUUCUCUGUGCUGCUUGUGAGUGGUGACUGAAACUGACCUGCUUUUUCAUGCAAACAUGAUGCAGAAGGCCCCGGGACCAGGGAGUGUCUGUGUGUGAGGGGAGCAGAGCUGGAAGCUGGCUCUCCCAGUGGGCACCGAUCACUUCAGGUGCUGCAGAAGAAUUCAUGGUAGAAUUUGCAUUUUCAACUGUUUGUUAAAGUCACAUACCAAGUCAAAUUUAAUUAGUCAUAUUCAUCCGGCAGAUGGUACAGCAUUCUGUAAUAAAGUAUAAAUUCCUUCCCUUAAUUGGGUAAUGCAUUUCAUAUGAUCUUUUUUACAAAUUUCAGAACUGAUUUUCUUCAAACAGGCCUGCACAUUAUUUGGAUGCCAGCCCAAACAGGUUAAAAUGGAUUUAAUACUUUCUCCCCACAGAACAUUAUGUAAAUGAAAGCAAGUCUGCCCUGAGUGGCUAAUUUUACUGUCUGCUUCUACAUAAAUCACAUCAGCAUCUGGGAGGACAAGUGGGAGUCAACUGAAUUAUGUGUGAACAAGUUUCUAAAACUUCAAACGCAGAGUGGUACAGUCAGAUUAAAAUACAUUCAGAUUGUUGCAUAAUGGAAGAGCCUGAUGUCCAGGUUAUCAAUUUGUUUAAGUCACCUUUGCUAACAUUAAAGAGAGUCUUCAUGGAUUCAGCAUGUUGAUUUUCCUUCCAGGAUAACCCAUUAACCCAAACAUUAAAACUGGGGCUGGAGGUUUCUUACUCUAUAUUAUUUAGAUGAACAUCUGUGGGCUCACAGUUUGGACAAUGUGGGCUGAAACAGAAUAUUGCACACUUGGUAGACUCUAGGUUACUGCUGUUUGCACUAAAGAGAAUUCAUUUUUCCCCUAAACACUGGGGCAUUGCUUCAGGCAUUUGCCUGCUUAAGUAAUUUGGAAAGUGCUGAGUUUUCCCAGCCUGCGUCAACGGCCCUUAAAGCUUACAAGCAGACUGGCUGAGUGCUAGAAGUGGGGGAGAUGCUAGCCAUCAUUGAGCGCAUCAGGGACAUGGCUGUCUUCGAGUGCCGAGUGCAGGCGUUUCUACUUGAGUAGGCUAUGUGUGCUUUGUACAUCUUCUUUGACAAAGUCCACUUGUCAUCCUCUUACAGUCCCGUAUUGCAUCAUGCUGAUACAUAUGUAUGGGCCCAGGACUCACAGACAAUCCUGUAACUCAGUCACAGGGGUAGCUGAUGUCCAGCCUAAGUCUGGUGUCUCAACUUCUGGGUAGAUACUUCUCCCAUCACAUUGUGUUACCUCUUAGUUGAGAAAAGUGUGAGAUACAGAUUAAAAGGGAAGAACAACUUUCCCUCUAAAGUGCAGUGGCUGGAGCCUGCAAAUUAAACUGGUAAAAGGUAGAGUAACAGGAAAAGGUACACUUUUAUUGAUGCUCUGUUUUUAUACAUAUGGAAGCUUCAUGGAGAAGAAAUGAAAAUGCCAAGAAUUGAUUAUACUCCAGGUCUUCUACGUCCUUUUCACAAAUAUGAAAAUUGUGGGCAAAGAGGGCUUGGGUUUGUAGGAGUGUAGAACUGUGGGAAAGGGAGCAGGAGGAGGAGGGAAACCAGUGGAGCCUCUGGGUUAUCCUCGUGCAGCUUGUGUGGAUGGUCUUGCUGGUAUUCGCCACCGUGAGCAAUAGCAGUCACACUCUUCUUCCCACUGCAAAGAGCACCUUCCUCAAACUAAAACUUAGGCUUUGCUUUCAGGCAGGUAAGAUGAGGAAGCAGAUAAUUGUUUCUGAAUCCACUGUUUCUCAUUUGCCUUCAGCCCAAAAUGAUCUUUAUGCCAAAGUGGCUUAUUUCUGGGUAGCCAAUCCUGAUCUGUUGUACCCUGUAGAGACAGAAGAUCACAUUGGCCAAAUAACUUAAGGAGUACAAGGAGCUAGGCAAUUUUUUCCAGGCCCCCUGCCUGCUUCUAUCCCCUGUUUAAUCUCUGUGUGUUUUUUCCAGGCUCUGCCUGUUGAGGUUUCUACAUGACAGUUUCAGCAGUCUUUGUCUAGUGUUUUUGGUACUUCUUUUAGUUUCUAGGUAGAAAAAAAAUCUUCUGUUAUCUGAGAUGUAAGGUAGGUAGAAAAACAGCAUUAAUUCCUCAGUUGCUAGGAUUGAGGCGUUAUGAAUAUUUAGACAAAGAAAUGGAAUUAUCUAAUACCUGGUGAUUACAUUGAGGCUAUUUAAUUCACUGUUUCCCUCUGAGACAUAUGCAGCUGAUAUAGCAUAUUCCAUUUUGAACACAUUUGCACAGAGAGGUUCAUUUUCUUUUUUAAAUGAAAAGCCAACGUACUGGGUGAUUCAUAUUUCUAGGGAAAUAUUCCUAUAGGCAUUUUUAUCAAUGAAUAAGUAUUCAACUUCAAAAAGUGAGUUUUAAAUAAGAAGGAAGACUGGCUCAUUUAUUUUAUGAUACUUCUUGGUGAAUGAUCUCCAGGACCUUGUUUUUUUUUGGUUUUUGGUAUUUGUUGUUGUUGUUUUGUUUUGUUUUUUAAUAUGAUAUCCAGGGGCCCCACUCCUGGCAAACACAAGUCUUAGGGAAAGCUCACCUCUACUUGUCCACAUGGAGAACCAGUCAAUUCCAGCAGCAAACACAGAUGAGGGCAUGGCUGUACCAUGACUAUUGAGAUUCUGGGGAGGGCCCCAGUGGACUUUGCUCCAUACCAACCUGGGGAUGGGCCCUCAGUGUUGGACCUUCCUAAUUCCAGAAAUCUGCCUGUUAGGUCACAGAUGGUCUUCUUCAGGCCUUUUUGAGAGAGAGACAGACAGACAGACAUGGAGAAUACACACUCAAUAAAUGACUGCAUACCUUGAAUGUAACUAAGGAGAAGGUGGACAACCCAGUGGAAAGACAAAUGAUCUGAGUAAGCAUUUACAGUAUGGGCUGCUCUGCUUGUGUCUAAUGCAGCUUAAGGACACCCUAAAAAGGAUGAAAUUUGUUUCCAAAUAAAGGAGUCCCCCAAAAUUCCCCAAAUAAUAUAAAUAUGAUAUAUCUAUCUCCUAAGUUGAAAUCCAUACCAUCAUGCAAAUAAAGAUUAGCAAAUGUGCAAAGAAACAGAAAAAUGUGAUCCAAGUGAAGAGAAAAUUCAAUGAAUAGAAACAGAGCCAGAGCUUAUCUAGAUUAUAAUAAAAUAACAAUCUGAAGACAACAUUCUGCAUGUCUAAGAAGGUGGAGGAAAACGUGAGCAUGUAAAGAGGCAGAAAAUACACCAAAAAUUAUUAAAAUAAAAUUGUCGACUAAAAAAAUAAAACAUCAAGAAAGAAAAACCAGGUGGGAAUAAUCAUAGGUUGGAUGUUGGCAAAAAAAAAUCAUAAACUCGACACAACAUCAAAGGUGCAAAACUGGAAGCAGAAGAUACUUAUCAAGAAAAGGUAUUGGAAGAAUAUCAACACUCCUCAGGGAAUCUCAAACAGCUCAAAAAACGUGUAAGUGCAGUUUGUGUAGGAAACAAGAGGGCAGUCAGGUAAAACAUUCAAAGAAGUCAUGGCCAAAAAUGCUCUCGUUUGAUAGAAAUAGCAAGCUUGCAGGGCUGGGCAUUUAGUCUCACAACUGAGAUGCUGGUUAGGACCCCUGAAUCCCUGCAUUGGAAUAGCUGGGUGAGAGCCCCAGCUCUGGUUAAUGAAUCCAGCUUCCUGCUGAUGCAGACCCUUGGAGUUGCUGGUAAUAGCUCAAAUAGCUGGGUCCACCAGUAGGGGAUACCUGGACUGAGUUCCGAAAUCCCGAGCAUUUGGGGAGUGAACCAGUGGAUGGGGACAUUCUCACUCACUCAGGCUGUCUGCCUCUCAAAAACUCAAAUUUUAGAGAUUGAUUUAUUUAUUUCAGAGUCAUAGUUGACCAACAGAGAGGGAGAAGCAGAUCUUCAGAAGCCAAGAGCUUCAUCUGGGUCUCCCAUGUGGGUGGCAGGGGCCCAAGUACUUGGACUAUCUUCUGCUGCUGUUCCCAGGCCAUUUGUAGGGGACUGGAUUGGAAGUUGGGCAGCCAGGCCACAAAACGGCACCCAUAUGGGAUGCCAGUGUUGCAGGCAGUUGCUUUGGCCACUGUACCACAACACUGGCACCAAAGAGUUUUAAUUAAAUCAUCAAUGCACCUGUAGUUUUCAGAAACACAGCAAAUCCCAGUACAUGAGAUGUGAAGAAAUGACCAAGAUACAUCAUUACAAAACAAAACAAAACCCUUAAAAAUCAGUGACAAAAAGAAAGGAAAACUAGUUGGAGGGAAGCAAACACAUCCACGAAAACAGGGGCACCCAGUUUAUUGUAGAACCUUAUACCUUAGUACAACUGGCAAAAACUUCAUGGUACGAUAUUUCUGCGCAGUCAUCAAAAUGCAGGAAGUACCAGGAAUUGGCAGAGCAAAAUUUCCUUGCCCUUUUAGGGCAGCAUAAAUCUAUAAACCACUUUGGAAAACUCUUUGACAGGGUCUCCUAGCACUGAUCAUGUACAUUGUGCCCAGAAAAUUAUACUCCCAAUACAAAGCUCAGGAAACAUGUGUACCUGCUCAGCAAAUUGCCUGUUUCAAACGGGCUGUUAGUAAUUGCCCACCUUGGUAGCACCUCAGUGCACAACAAGGACAGACUGAGUAAUACAGUGCGCUAGAUUCAUACUGUGGAGAACCGUACGGAAAUGAGAAGAGCAGUACUGGUUAACCUGGUCACCUGGUCAGUCUCAGAGGUGACACUGUGGUGCCACACGUGAAUACAGAUCCUAAGACUUAUAAGGUUCAAGGCGGGCAAGGCUAACUCAGGUGUUGUAAAUCAUAGAUGUCAUGAUGCUUGUUUGUGGGAGGGAGAGCUGGAUGGGGCCAUGAGGGAAAGCUGGGGGCACCUAUUUCUGGGUUUGGGGGUUUGCAACAGGUGUGUUCAACUUGUGAACUUUCUUCACUCUGUAUACUGUGUGCUGCUCUGUAUGUCAUACUUCAACAGAGUUUCAAAAAUAUGGGUUUAAAAAAGUAAGAAACUGUCCCAGACUGAAAGGGUAUACAUGGAGCACUUGACAAUUUUUACCUGUGAUGAGUAGAGGAAAGAGAAUGGAAUUAAAAGAGGGAGGAAAGAAAGAGAUUGAUGUUCAACUGUGGCUGAUCUCCUUCUAUCAGAUGGAUUUUUAUGCUUUUGAAAUGCGCUCUUGGGUUUGAAGUACUACCUUUCAAGCAUUCUUAUUUUUCAGUCCCAAUUUUUUCCUUACUAAAGCCUCUGUGCCUGCUGUUCUCCCAACCAACCUUCUCACUAACCACCCCCAACCCUGCCACCGUGAGCAGCAAUAGAGGUCAACUUUAAUUCACUGGUGGUGAAAUUAUAUCACAUAGUCUAAAUGGCCUUUUAAGGACAUGCUAUAAAUCUUCCAACCAAAACAUAGUGUCCUUAGCAUUCCCAUAUAUUUAAUUACACCAUUUUCCUUAAAACCAUACUUCAUAUUCUCAUUUUAAUCCAACAAUGGAGCUAGCACAGGAAGGCUCUGAACUUAGUAUUUUGUUUAAUAGGCAGCUUGCUAAUUAUGUAGAAAGUUCAAAUGAGCAUUCCAAAUUCCUAAGAAAGUUUAACUAUGACCACUUAUAAAUCUCUAAAAUCCUCAAUGAGAAAACUUAGAAAUACUAAGUUCAAAUGAAGUUUUUUUUGUUUGUUUGUUUGUUUGUUUGUUUUUUUGACAGGCAGAGUGGAUAGCGAGAGAGAGAGACAGAGAGAAAGGUCUUCCUUUUUGCUGUUGGUUCACCCUCCAAUGGCCGCCACGGCUGGUGCGCUGCAGCCGGCGCACCGCGCCGAUCCGAAGGCAGGAGCCAGGUACUUCUCCUGGUCUCCCAUGGGGUGCAGGGCCCAAGCACUUGGGCCAUCCUCCACUGCACUCCCUGGCCAUAGCAGAGAGCUGGCCUGGAAGAGGGGCAACCGGGAAAGAAUCCGGCGCCCCGACCAGGACUAGAACCCGGUGUGCUGGCGCCGCUAGGUGGAGGAUUAGCCUAUUGAGCCACGGCGCUGGCCAAAUGAAGUUUUUAUACAGAAGAAAAUAGAAAUAAAUCAGUUCAAGAGACAUCAGAAAGAAUGGGAAAAAUGUUUGCAAGCUAAGGGUUAAUAUCUAAAAUGUAUAAGAAUUUCUGAAAAAAUCAACAGCAAAACAACAAUCAUCCCAUUAAGAAAUGGGCAAAGGACCUCAAUAGACAGUUCUCAAAAGAAAAAAUGCAAAUAGUCAACAAAUAUUUGCAAAUAUUUGCAUGGGGAAAUACAAAUCAAAACCUUCAAUGUGGCAUCACCGCACCAUAUCAGAAUGACUUAUCAAGAACAGUAACAGUGGUAAGGAUAUGGAGAAGAUGAAAUCUUAGGCACUACCAAUGGGAAUGUGAAUUAGAAAUGCAAUGCCUCUAUGAUCCAGCAGUCUACACUCAAAACACAUGAACUCAAUCUAUCAAGGAGACACCUGCUCCACCAUGUUUAUAUCAGCAGUGUUCACAAUAACCAAAAUACGGGAUCAACCAAGGUGUCCAUUAAAUGAAUGGAUAAAGAAAAUAUGGUAUAGAAUGCAAUGGAAUAUUAAUUAACUAUUUAACAAAGAAUAAAAGCCUGUCAUUUGCAGCAAAGUGGAUGGCACUGGAGUUAAGUACGCCAGACACUGAAAGGUAGAUACCGCAUGUUCUCCCUUAUAUAUGGAUGCUAAAAAACAAGACCUCAAUCUGCACAGAACAUUGAUUACUAGAGGCUGGGAGGGAAGGAGGGAGGGAUAAAAGGAGUAUGGAUUAAAAAAAAAAUGGGGGGGCCGGCGCCAUGGCUCACUUGAUUGAUCUUCUGCCUGCG